UUCAAGAGAGGUUGGAUUUCAAAACUCGCGAUUGCCGUGAUUGUGUUAGGGAUUCUGUAGAGCAUUCAUUGUAGAUCACGUAGCAAUUUGUAGAUUGUGAUUUCAUUGAGAAUCGACUGCGUUAUAUUCGAUUGAAGUUUGUGUGUCGUAUCUUCUUUCGCUCGAUUCGUUCCAUAUCUGAACCUAUAGACAAUUUCACUAUGAUAUUUGCAAUCCACGAGCUGAGACGUUUCGAUCGGUAUAUCGCUUAUGUAUUUUCGUUAACUUUUGCUCAAAACCUAAUUUAAGAUGAUGAACCUGGAAGAACCGCGAUGAACAUUCAAGAAAUCUGCAGAAAAUCGUUCGUUUGAUCCGCUUCCAUCCGUUUUCAAUUCAAUUUCGUGUUUUCGCGCGCCAGAGCCAAUGAAGCGUCGCCACAUCAUUAAGUUGGACGACCGCGUUUUGGUCCAGGGGCACAUAAUUACCGUUGUGCCAUUUUCGUCCAUAAUUAAUUAAUUAAUUCAUUCUAAAACCUAAAUAAAUAUUUCAAAACUUCAAAAAAUCAUAGAAAUAAGUUGGACGACCGCGUUUUGGUCCAGGGGCACAUAAUUACCGUUGUGCCAUUUUCGUCCAUAAUUAAUUAAUUAAUUCAUUCUAAAACCUAAAUAAAUAUUUCAAAACUUCAAAAAAUCAUAGAAUAUUCAAUAUUAAUCCAAAUAAUCUGAGGCUUUUUCUGUUGGACUCCAUUUUUAAUCUAUUAUUUUUUAGACAUAGAAAAUAAAAUUGUGCUUGGUAGAAAAAUUAAUUGGUAUAGAGAUGUUCUUAAUGUAUGCCAUUUUCACAUGUUCUACUAUUUUAAUCAUAGAAUAACCAUGAUUUACCCAAAUGAAUUGAAAUUUUAGAUGUUGAUUCUUGACACAUUUCUGGAGAUUUUGACAUAUGAUUUGUAAUUUUUAGACCUCUGGUUUGCUAGAUGUGAUUAAUUCUUUUUGAGUGUGACAACAUGUGUCACACUUUGAUAUGCUGAGUUCAUGUAUUAUUUUUCCAUGCUUCCAUUAGGCCUAUGGUUCUGAUUUUUUGCAUGAGAUACCUUUGACACGUUAACUUUNUCAUGAGAUUACCUUGACACGUAAACUUCAACAUGAAUUUUUGGAUUUUUAUAACAUUUUCUAAUGUUUAGAAUUUUUGUUUGCUGCUUAGCAUUUUAGGGCUUGCUUAUGUAACAUUUUUUAGUAUGUUGCCAAAUCCUCAUCCCUAACAUAUGAACAUGAAAUGUUGGGUAGAGUAGUUCCUGACAUGUGUUCUUCAUUUGGCUUUGGUCCUACUCAUUUCCCAUUUAAUGUCACUGUUUACCAUUUGUUGAAGUUUGUGUCCAUUUGUAACUUCAUUUGGUUGUGUUUUUGCAUGUCUUGACAGUUGAAUUAAUUCUCAUAUGUCACUACCAACUGUAUGAAAUGACAUGUAGCUGUUGAAGUCUCUGUUUUAGGAUUAAUAUUUGUGGAAUUUUCCAUGCGUUUUGAUAUUUUUUUUGGAUGUGAUCUUGCGGUUUGCUCCAUAUGUUGGUUCAUUUGCUUCUUUGCCUUACAUGUUGCAUAAAUUGAAAUGGUGAUUAGUUUGGAUAUGGGACCAAUUGGAGUCCUUUGUAUGAAAUUAUCUUGGUUGAUCAUGAUUUGCUUCUGUUUUAGAUUUUUCCAUCCUUUGGACCUAGGCUCGCCUAGUGGUCUAGUUACUUAUGUUUGAGCUGACUUUGACUUUUCAGGUUAAAAGCUAUCCUUAAGGAGUGUGAUACAUGAUUGAGUUGAAUUCAUUUGACUAUAUGUUGUUUGUAGGGCUUGGUUACUGACCUUUGUCUAGGCACAUGGAUGUCAUCAUUGUUUGAUGUUGAUGGAUUCUUAAUGUUGUUGUUUUGUUUAUGUCGGAUGCUGAUUCUGUUUGACUGUUUCCAGUACCCCUGAUUGCUCAGUUCUCUUAAGAACUUCAUUGCUUUGCUUAUAAGCAAUGGCAUUGAGGUAUAGAACCUCUUCUUCAUUGUGUAGUCUGGAGACCAGGCUGUUAUUGGCGGGCAAACUGUCUGAAGUCCUCCUUAAAGGCCAAUGCUUGUUAUAGAUUAUUAUUGUCCCAAGCAGGAAAAGCCUCAUUUGAGGCAAUGUGUGAGUAGGAUAAGCAAUCUAUCCCACUAUUCUGUGAUUCUCUCCUGCUCCCAUACAUGGUUGUAGCAAUGAUCCAACCCAAGAUCUAUCGAGUCUAAUUUGGGCAAAGAGUUCAUCUCUGAACUCCCCCACAUUCUUAUAUUUAACAUGCUCUCUCGGACCUAGAUAGAAGCAAUGAGGCACACCCUCAUCACCUUUCAUCUGCUUCAUUAGCUCCCUCAAUGGCAGGUUAAGAGCUAACUGACCCCGAUCGAAGCUAGUUUGUGUGAGUUGAUAUGACCUCGACUAAGCCAGCCUUGAUGUUGACCCCUUGUUGGUGGUGUUUCUCUCUUGUAUAUGUUUGUGUGGUGUGAUUGUAUCCCUGUUUCUAGACUCGCGUAUCUCGUUGCAUGUCAAUUAAGGUAGCAGUGUCCUUCGUAUAGCGACUUCCUUUCUUGCUUGAGCUUUCCUAAAACACAAACACAUUACCCCUCUCAAGAUAUCGUCACCCUUCUACUACAGGUGAGUAAGUCUCCAAGUCGAGCAUCCGGUAGAUGGCGUAGUGACGUUGUCCAUUAAAAACACAAACCAACAGAAUAGUUUAGCCGAACUACGGCAACUCUGAUUCUCUAUGUCCAAAUGAGAUACGUAGGCACGAGAAGAUGCGAUGUCUUGUCGAGUUAACUAACAACUAAACCUAAUUCUUUUCUCUCGCCCCGUUGCGAUGUAGAUCUCCUUCCUCUGCCCUAGUUGACAAUCGAGACCCUUCUUCUUCCUGUGUCUGUUGUGUCGGUUGGAAGCUGAUGUAAGUCAUCGAGUGACAUUGCGGUUCCAUGUUAGUGCGUGUUUUGUUCGGAUUGCUGAUGUAAGCCAGUGAUUGGCAUUCAGGCUCCACUUUUGCCUCUUUGUGUGGGUUCGGAUGGCUGAUGUAACCCAGUGAUUGGCAUUCAGGCUCCACGUUGCCUUUGCAUGUGUUGUUUGCGUGCGUGUUAGCCGAGUACGAAUGCUCUGAUUCUCUCUUCGUCCAAAGGAGAUACGUAUGCAUAGGAUGCGAUAUCUAGCGAGCAUGUGCGUUCUUCCCAGUCGAACUACUUCGACUCUGAGUCUAUGCUUGAUAGACUCUCUACCCAGGAUACGAUGUCCUGCGAGUCAGUUCUCAGUCUGUUUCUGUGUCUCUCCUAGCCAGUGUGAGGUGUUGUGAGCAGUGUUUAGCACCAUUGAUUUCCUUCCAUUGUGCCGUGGAUCCCGUGAGUACGACCGAUGCUAGGGUCCUAACCUUCCUUCGCAUAACGACCCCGAUCCAUUCUCUUGUGGUCCGAGAGCCAUGCUUUUCAGGUUUACUUCGAGCAUUUCUUUCCCUCUUUUGGAUAAAUAACGCACGUGUGCGGCUCUGUUGUUCUGUUUUCCCGCGUUUUUCGCGUAAUGCGACCCAUAUUUUCUUAUAUCUUUUUUUUCUUACCUCUUUGUUUGAUACUUUUUAACCAACUUUUUUUCAUAGGAUUCUUUCUUAUCAUUUAAAGGUCUUUAUGAAAUCCUCAUAUUAAUGCAAUUAAUGCGGAGGAAGAUCAUAUGCCUAAUACGCACUAUUGGCAUUUUGAUAAAAGAUAUUUCAAACUCGGCCAAAACCGCACACACAAACCCAUCAUCAAUUAGGACAAAAGUUUCAGUUGAUACGUAACUUCUUGAUAUGGAUCAUGAGGUAGAAUGAUUUAUAUAGCUUAUGUAGGUGUGAUUUUGUGGGAUAAUGGUUGGUUAAUUUUUAGUUUGUUAUCUAUCUUUUGUUUUUGUAUAACACAGGAUAUAGAAAAUUUCCUUUACUUGGCAUCCCUAUACUGAACAAAUGCUGCUCCCGACCUGCAUGAUCAUAUUCAAUACCGUACUAUCGUCGCCCCAUUGUUUUGCUAAACAUAUGUGGAGCCUAAUAUCCAAUGUUAUAGCAAAACAUUUCGAGAACUUUAUGAUAUAACUGACCGGUGUUGGAUCUGAUAUGUGAGUGAUUAUUCAAAGGGAAAUAAAGGAAAUAUCCAUGAAUCUGAAGCACGAGUUUCUAUUAAUCCUGUUGAGACGAGCUAGUUAGAUAUGACUAGUUGACUUAAGAAAAAAGUUACUACAAUAUUUUAUAUAUGACUGGUUUUGCAUUAUUGUUUGUGUUUAUUGGACGUGAGAGUUAUUCUUUUUCUAAACGCAGCAUACAAAAUCACUCACAUAUGUUUUGUGAGCAUCAUACUCAAUUAAAGUGUAGAAUCCAAGUAUAGAUCUAAAUGAAAAUAACUACAUUCACACACACACGAUGGUGGGGUCUGGUUAGUAGUUAGCCUAUAUUAAAAGUCAAUAUCAUGAAUAUGAAAAGUCAUACCAACUGAUUCAUUGAUUCAUUUACUCCAUAAUGUUGAAAAAGUACUUGCAGUUAACUACAAAGAACCUGAAAAAGUAUCAUUAUAAAAACAGAAAAUUUGGUUUAGAGUUCUUGAAAGUUUCUAUUUAUUAGUACCAUAUAUAUUAUUAUUAUUAUUAUUAUUAUUAUUAUUAUGAAAGUAAACUGAUAUUUGUAUCCAAAACAAAGAUAAAUUGUGAGUGUUCUGAUUUAGGUUAGAGAUAAUCAGGUUAGAGAUACAUUAUUAAGCGAUUUUGCACAAAGCGAUUUUGCACAAAUUCUGUUUUAUUUAUACAAGGGAUUUUGUUUUUACAGGAAAUGUCAACAAAAGGAUCAUCUAAAGCAAAGACUUUGUGGCACAUGUGGAAAGAUUUAGAUGAACCUUUUAAAGCAUAGAUUAACAAUAGAAUAGAAAAUUAUGGAACUCUUAAGAGUUUUAAGGCUUGUCCAAGAUAACUCAUGUGAAUUUUCAACAUCAUUGUUUGGAUUGUUCAUGAGUUAUUAUGGACUCCAAGAAAAUUAUUAUUGUUUUCAUGUUUGUGGUCACAACAUGAACGUCACAUUGGAGGACGUUCUGUUUUUGACCAACUUGCCCAUUACGGGCCGAACACUUAUAUCUGGAAGCAAUAGAGACCAUAUGGCUUUUAACAAAAUUUUUUCUUUACCUGUCACUCAUUAACUUAAGUUAACAGUGUUGAAUUUUUUUUGCUGCGAUAUAAAUAAAAAUGAUGAUGAUAGGAUUAAGGUCGUCAUCCUCAUGAUCGUGUCAUGUCUGAUCAUUCCAAGUGGGGAUGGACAAAAUUUCAAAACCACCUACGUCCAAUUUAUUGAAAAAUUGGACGAAGUUGACUCCUAUGCUUGGGGAGCGACAAUAUUGUCCCAUCUAUAUCAAGGUCUGAAGGAGAAUAAUUUACGGAAUAAGAAAGUUGACGGCUUUGUAUGGCUGAUAAUGGUAAGUGCAUAUUUUUUCUUAUAUCUUUUUUUUUCUUACCUCUUUGUUUGAUAACUUUUUAACCAUCUUUUUUUUCAUAGGGAUUCUUCUUUUAUCAUUUUAAAGGUCUUUAUGAAAUCCUCAAUAUUAAUGCAAUUAAUGCGGAGGAAGAUCAUAUGCCUAAUACGCCACUAUUGGCAUAUUUGAUAAAAGAUAUUUUCAAACUCGGCCAAAACCGCCACACAAAACCCCAUCAUCAAUUAGGACAAAAGUUUCAGUUGAUACGUAACUUCUUGGAUAUGGAUCAUGAGGUAAGAAAUGAUUUAUAUAGCUUAUGUAGGUUGUGAUUUUGUGGGAAAGGACAAAAGUUUCAGUUGAUACGUAACUUCUUGGAUAUGGAUCAUGAGGUAAGAAAUGAUUUAUAUAGCUUAUGUAGGUUGUGAUUUUGUGGGAUAAUGGUUGGUUAAUUUUUAGUUUGUUAUCUUCAUCUUUUGUUUUUUGUAUAACACAGGAUAUAGAAAAUUUUCCUAUUACUUGGCAUCCCUAUACUGAACAAAUGCUGCCUCCCGACCUGCAUGAUCAUAUUCAAUACCGUACUAUCGUCGCCCCAUUGUUUUGCUACAACUAUGUGGAGCCUUAAUAUCCAAAUGUUAUAGCAAAACAGUUCGAGGAACUUUAUGAUAUUAACUUGACCGGUGUUGGAUCUGAUAUGUGAGUGAUUAUUUCAAAGGGAAAUAAAGGAAAUAAUCCCAUCAAUUUUUAAGCACAUUUUAAAAAAGAGCUGAGACAAUGGGAGGAUAUCGAUAGGCGGUUUGCACAAAACUUCCAGACUAUUGAAGCAUCCACUUCUGAGAUGGCAGGUGAUAUUGAAGCAUCCACUUCCGAGACGGCAAGUGAUCACCAAUCACCCAAUAUUGAGAAUAGCACUAGUGGAGGUAAAAUAUUUAAUUAUGUUAUGGUUUUAGUUAUGAAUAAUGAUAAGACACUUCCGAGACGGCAAGUGAUCACCAAUCACCCAAUAUUGAGAAUAGCACUAGUGGAGGUAAAAUAUUUAAUUAUGUUAUGGUUUUAGUUAUGAAUAAUGAUAAGUAAUCAGCGGUGCAUGUUAUCCUAUGAAUAUAUAAUUACAUUUUUAAUUAAGAAAAUGUUGUUUUUGAUUUGCCAAAUUUUAACAAUGUGAUAGAUGCAUGUGAGAUGUUGGCUGUUGAUUUUGAAAAAUAUGAGAUUAUCGUACUAUCGUCGCCCCAUUGUUUUGCUACAACCAUGUGGAGCCUCAAUAUCCAAAUGUUGUAGAAAAACAGUUCGAGGAACUUGGUGAUAAUAACUUUACCGGUGUUGGAUCUGAUAUGGGAGUGAUUAUUUCAAAGGGAAAUAAAGACAAUAAUCCCAUCAAUUUUAAAGAACAUUUUAAAAAAGAACUGAGACAAUGAGAGGAUAUCGAUAGGCGGUUUGCACAAAACUUCAAAACUAUUGAAGUAUCUACUUCUGAGACGGCAGGUGAUAUUGAAGCAUCCACUUCCGAGAUGACAAGUGAUCACCAAUCACCCAAUAUUGAGAGUAGCACUAGUGGAGGUAAAAUAUGUAAUUAUGUUAUGGUUUUAGUUAUGAAUAAUGAUAAGUAAUCAGCAGUGCAUGUUAUCUUAUGAAUAUAUAAUUACGUUUUUAAUUAAGAAAAUGUUGUUUUUGAUUUGACAAAUUUUAACAAUGUGAUAGAUGCAUGUGAGAUGUUGGCGGUUGAUUUUGAAGCAUAUGAGAUUACCGUACUAUCAUCGCCCGAUUGUUUUGCUACAACUAUGUGGAGCCUCAAUAUCUAAAUGUUGUAGCAAAACAGUUCGAGGAACUUGAUGAUAUUAACUUGACCGGUGUUGGAUCUGAUAUGGGAGUAAUUAUUUCAAAGGGGAAUAAAGGCAAUAAUCCCAUCAAUUUUAAAGCACAUUUUAAGAAAGAGCUAAGACAAUGGGAGGAUAUCGAUAGGCGGUUUGCACAAAACAUCCAGACUAUUGAAGCAUCCACUUCUGAGACGGCAAGUGAUAUUGAAGCAUCCACUUCCGAGACGGCAAGUGGUCACCAAUCACCCAAUAUUGAGAAUAGCACUAGUGGAGGUAUAAUAUGUAAUUAUGUUAUGGUUUUAGUUAUGAAUAAUGAUAAGUAAUCAGCGGUGCAUGUUAUCUUAUGAAUAUAUAAUUACAUUUUUAAUUAAGAAAAUGUUGUUUUUGAUUUGCCAAAUUUUAACAAUGUUAUCUUAUGAAUAUAUAAUUACAUUUUUAAUUAAGAAAAUGUUGUUUUUGAUUUGCCAAAUUUUAACAAUGUGAUAGAUGCAUGUGAGAUGUUGGCGGUUGAUUUUGAAGCAUAUGAGAUUAUUGUACUAUCGUCGCCCCAUUGUUUUGCUACAACUAUCUGGAGCCUCAAUAUCCAAAUGUUGUAGCAAAACAGUUCGAGGAACUUGAUGAAAUUAACUUGACCGGUGUUGGAUCUAAUUUGGGAGUGAUUAUUUCAAAUGGAAAUAAAGGCAAUAAUCCCAUCAAUUUUAAAGAACAUUUUAAAAAAGAACUGAGACAAUGGGAGGAUAUCGAUAGGCGGUUUGCACAAAACUUCCCGACUAUUGAAGCAUCCACUUCUGAGACGGCAGGUGAUAUUGAAGCAUCCACUUCCGAGACGGCAAGUGAUUACCAAUCACCCAAUAUUGAGAAUAACACUAGUGGAGGUAAAAUAUUUAAUUAUGUUAUGGUUUUAGUUAUGAAUAAUGAUAAGUAAUCAGCGGUGCAUGUUAUCUUAUGAAUAUAUAAUUACGUUUUUAAUUAAGAAAAUGUUGUUUUUGAUUUGCCAAAUUUUAACAAUGUGAUAGAUGCAUGUGAGAUGUUGGCGGUUGAUUUUGAAGCAUAUGAGAUUAUCGUACUAUUGUCGCCCCAUUUUUUUGCUACAACUAUGUGGAGCCUCAAUAUCCAAAUGUUGUAGAAAAACAGUUCGAGAAACUUGAUGAUAUUAACUUGACCGAUGUUGGAUCUGAUAUGGGAGUGAUUAUUUCAAAGGGAAAUAAAGGCAAUAAUCCCAUCAAUUUUAAAGCACAUUUUAAAAAAGAGCUGAGACAAUGGGAGGAUAUCGAUAGGCGGUUUGCACAAAACUUCCAGACUAUUGAAGCAUCCACUUCUGAGACGGCAGGUGAUAUUGAAGCAUCCACUUCCGAGACGGCAAGUGAUCACCAAUCACCCAAUAUUGAGAAUAGCACUAGUGGAGGUAAAAUAUUUAAUUAUGUUAUGGUUUUAGUUAUGAAUAAUGAUAAGUAAUCAGCGGUGCAUGUUAUCUUAUGAAUAUAUAAUUACGUUUUUAAUUAAGAAAAUGUUGUUUUUGAUUUGCCAAAUUUUUAUAAUGUGAUAGAUGCAUGUGAGAUGUUGGCGGUUGAUUUUGAAGCAUAUGAGAUUAUCGUACUAUUGUCGCCCCAUUUUUUUGCUACAACUAUGUGGAGCCUCAAUAUCCAAAUGUUGUAGAAAAACAGUUCGAGAAACUUGAUGAUAUUAACUUGACCGAUGUUGGAUCUGAUUUGGGAGUGAUUAUUUCAAAGGGAAAUAAAGGCAAUAAUCCCAUCAAUUUUAAAGCACAUUUUAAAAAAGAGCUGAGACAAUGGGAGGAUAUCGAUAGGCGGUUUGCACAAAACUUCCAGACUAUUGAAGCAUCCACUUCUGAGACGGCAGGUGAUAUUGAAGCAUCCACUUCCGAGACGGCAAGUGAUCACCAAUCACCCAAUAUUGAGAAUAGCACUAGUGGAGGUAAAAUAUUUAAUUAUGUUAUGGUUUUAGUUAUGAAUAAUGAUAAGUAAUCAGCGGUGCAUGUUAUCUUAUGAAUAUAUAAUUACGUUUUUAAUUAAGAAAAUGUUGUUUUUGAUUUGCCAAAUUUUAACAAUGUGAUAGAUGCAUGUGAGAUGUUGGCUGUUGAUUUUGAAAAAUAUGAGAUUACCGUACUAUCGUCGCCCCAUUGUUUUGCUACAACCAUGUGGAGCCUCAAUAUCCAAAUGUUGUAGAAAAACAGUUCGAGGAACUUGGUGAUAAUAACUUGAUCGGUGUUGGAUCUGAUAUGGGAGUGAUUAUUUCAAAGGGAAAUAAAGGCAAUAAUCCCAUCAAUUUUAAAGAACAUUUUAAAAAAGAACUGAGACAAUGAGAGGAUAUCGAUAGGCGGUUUGCACAAAACUUCCAAACUAUUGAAGUAUCUACUUCUGAGACGGAAGGUGAUAUUGAAGCAUCCACUUCCGAGAUGACAAUUGAUCACCAAUCACCCAAUAUUGAGAGUAGCACUAGUGGAGGUAAAAUAUGUAAUUAUGUUAUGGUUUUAGGUAUGAAUAAUGAUAAGUAAUCAGCAGUGCAUGUUAUCUUAUGAAUAUAUAAUUACGUUUUUAAUUAAGAAAAUGUUGUUUUUGAUUUGCCAAAUUUUAACAAUGUGAUAGAUUCAUGUGAGAUAUUGGCGGUUGAUUUUGAAGCAUAUGAGAUUACCGUACUAUCGUCGCCCGAUUGUUUAUCUACAACUAUGUGGAGCCUCAAUAUCCAAAUGUUGUAGCAAAACAGUUCGAGGAACUUGAUGAUAUUAACUUGACCGGUGUUGGAUCUGAUAUGGGAGUGAUUAUUUCAAAGGGGAAUAAAAGCAAUAAUCCCAUCAAUUUUAAAGCACAUUUUAAGAAAGAGCUGAGACAAUGGGAGGAUAUCGAUAGGCGGUUUGCACCAAACAUCCAGACUAUUGAAGCAUCCACUUCUGAGACGGCAGGUGAUAUUGAAGCAUCCACUUCCGAGACGGCAAGUGGUCACCAUUCACCCAAUAUUGAGAAUAGCACUAGUGGAGGUAAAAUAUGUAAUUAUGUUAUGGUUUUAGUUAUGAAUAAUGAUAAGUAAUCAGCGGUGCAUGUUAUCUUAUGAAUAUAUAAUUACAUUUUUAAUUAAGAAAAUGUUGUUUUUGAUUUGCCAAAUUUUAACAAUGUGAUAGAUGCAUGUGAGAUGUUGGCGGUUGAUUUUGAAGCAUAUGAGAUUAUCGUACUAUCGUCGCCCCAUUGUUUUGCUACAACUAUGUGGAGCCUCAAUAUCCAAAUGUUGUAGCAAAACAGUUCGAGGAACUUGAUAAUAUUAACUUGACCGGUGUUGGAUCUAAUUUGGGAGUGAUUAUUUCAAAUGGAAAUAAAGGCAAUAAUCCCAUCAAUUUUAAAGCACAUUUUAAAAAAGAACUGAGACAAUGGGAGGAUAUUGAUAGGCGGUUUGCACAAAACUUCCCGACUAUUGAAGCAUCCACUUCUGAGACGGCAGGUGAUAUUGAAGCAUCCACUUCCGAGACGGCAAGUGAUCACCAAUCACCCAAUAUUGAGAAUAACACUAGUGGAGGUAAAAUAUUUAAUUAUGUUAUGGUUUUAGUUAUGAAUAAUGAUAAGUAAUCAGCGGUGCAUGUUAUCUUAUGAAUAUAUAAUUACGUUUUUAAUUAAGAAAAUGUUGUUUUUGAUUUGCCAAAUUUUUACAAUGUGAUAGAUGCAUGUGAGAUGUUGGCGGUUGAUUUUGAAGCAUAUGAGAUUAUNNNNNNNNNNNNNNNNNNNNNNNNNNNNNNNNNNNNNNNNNNNNNNNNNNNNNNNNNNNNNNNNNNNNNNNNNNNNNNNNNNNNNNNNNNNNNNNNNNNNNNNNNNNNNNNNNNNNNNNNNNNNNNNNNNNNNNNNNNNNNNNNNNNNNNNNNNNNNNNNNNNNNNNNNNNNNNNNNNNNNNNNNNNNNNNNNNNNNNNNNNNNNNNNNNNNNNNNNNNNNNNNNNNNNNNNNNNNNNNNNNNNNNNNNNNNNNNNNNNNNNNNNNNNNNNNNNNNNNNNNNNNNNNNNNNNNNNNNNNNNNNNNNNNNNNNNNNNNNNNNNNNNNNNNNNNNNNNNNNNNNNNNNNNNNNNNNNNNNNNNNNNNNNNNNNNNNNNNNNNNNNNNNNNNNNNNNNNNNNNNNNNNNNNNNNNNNNNNNNNNNNNNNNNNNNNNNNNNNNNNNNNNNNNNNNNNNNNNNNNNNNNNNNNNNNNNNNNNNNNNNNNNNNNNNNNNNNNNNNNNNNNNNNNNNNNNNNNNNNNNNNNNNNNNNNNNNNNNNNNNNNNNNNNNNNNNNNNNNNNNNNNNNNNNNNNNNNNNNNNNNNNNNNNNNNNNNNNNNNNNNNNNNNNNNNNNNNNNNNNNNNNNNNNNNNNNNNNNNNNNNNNNNNNNNNNNNNNNNNNNNNNNNNNNNNNNNNNNNNNNNNNNNNNNNNNNNNNNNNNNNNNNNNNNNNNNNNNNNNNNNNNNNNNNNNNNNNNNNNNNNNNNNNNNNNNNNNNNNNNNNNNNNNNNNNNNNNNNNNNNNNNNNNNNNNNNNNNNNNNNNNNNNNNNNNNNNNNNNNNNNNNNNNNNNNNNNNNNNNNNNNNNNNNNNNNNNNNNNNNNNNNNNNNNNNNNNNNNNNNNNNNNNNNNNNNNNNNNNNNNNNNNNNNNNNNNNNNNNNNNNNNNNNNNNNNNNNNNNNNNNNNNNNNNNNNNNNNNNNNNNNNNNNNNNNNNNNNNNNNNNNNNNNNNNNNNNNNNNNNNNNNNNNNNNNNNNNNNNNNNNNNNNNNNNNNNNNNNNNNNNNNNNNNNNNNNNNNNNNNNNNNNNNNNNNNNNNNNNNNNNNNNNNNNNNNNNNNNNNNNNNNNNNNNNNNNNNNNNNNNNNNNNNNNNNNNNNNNNNNNNNNNNNNNNNNNNNNNNNNNNNNNNNNNNNNNNNNNNNNNNNNNNNNNNNNNNNNNNNNNNNNNNNNNNNNNNNNNNNNNNNNNNNNNNNNNNNNNNNNNNNNNNNNNNNNNNNNNNNNNNNNNNNNNNNNNNNNNNNNNNNNNNNNNNNNNNNNNNNNNNNNNNNNNNNNNNNNNNNNNNNNNNNNNNNNNNNNNNNNNNNNNNNNNNNNNNNNNNNNNNNNNNNNNNNNNNNNNNNNNNNNNNNNNNNNNNNNNNNNNNNNNNNNNNNNNNNNNNNNNNNNNNNNNNNNNNNNNNNNNNNNNNNNNNNNNNNNNNNNNNNNNNUAUAUAUAUAUAUAUAUAUAUAUAUAUAUAUAUAUAUAUAUAUAUAUAUAUAUAUAUAUAUAUAUAUAUGUAUAUAUAUAUAAUGACAAUAAUGAAUACAAAUGUCAUUUGAAAGAACUACAUUAUUUUACAUUGAAUCUUGUGUGUAACUUUCCACUUCUGCUAGGCUAUGAAAUAAUAUUUAAAAUUUUUUUUAACUUAAAUAUUCAAUUUUCAGAUGUCAUCUCAUUUAAUUAUUAAUAUUCACACUUUUUAAGUUAAAAUUUUGAAAUUUAGAUAUUAUCUCAUAUUCAAAUAAUAAUAUUGUUAAAUAAUUAAGUUUGAGAUAUCAUCUCAUAUUUAAAUGUCAAUAUUCACAAUUUUUAAAGUUAAAUACUAAAGUUUUAGAUAUUAUUCUUAUUCAAAUAUUAAUAUUUACGACUUUUUAAGUUAAAUAAUCAAAUUUGAGAUACCAUCUCAGAUUCAAAUAUUAAUAUUCACAAUUUUUAAAAUCAGAUAUUCAAAUUUCAAAUAUCAUCUCAUAUUCAAAUAUUAAUGUUCACAAAUUUUUAUGUUAAAUAUUUAUAAUUUUAGAUUAUGCUAUUAAUAUUCACAAUUUAUUAAGUCAAAUGUCUGUAAUUUUAACCAAACAAUAUACACACAAAACACAAAAGUAUUGAAAGAUUUGAAAAUAAUAUAAUAAUUUUAAAAUUUAAAACGUGGGUAUAUGUUUCUUAAUGAUUUUGAUUUAAAUAACAUUUACAUGUUUGGUAUUUGAAAAUAUUAAUUCCUUCUCCAAUAUUGUUCAAAGAAAUAUAACUUUUCUAAAUACUUUUUUCUUUAGUUGUUUUUUCAUGCUAAUUAUGCUCUUUUUUCUUUUACAGUCAUAUCAAUGACAAAUGGUAUAGACAGACCAAGAGAAUGUUUUAAAACUCGUGAGGGACAAUGCAUCCUUAAUGCGUGUGGAGCAUGGUGUUAUCAAAUUUAUAAGGGUUAUGGAACUUGUAUACAAGGUGGUACAGAUCCUAUUAACCCAAUUUAUAAAUGUAUUUGUAGAUAUAUUUGUUCCACCUAGAAUUAAAAACAUCACCUUUAGAUAUAUUUUAAAUGUAGAAGAUAUCAGAAUAAAGAUGAUAAAUUUGAGGCAAUUCAAUUAUUGAUAGUUUAUUUAAGUGUUUCUUAUAUUUAUUGUAAUUCAAGACAUAAAAAUAAAGAUAAUAUUGUUUUAUUUUAUGAAAUUUUGAUUAUAGUAUAAGCCUUUUAUCUCAAAAGUGUUGAAAAAAUAUAUAAGAAAACAAUAAAAAAAUUAUUUGAUUUAAUUUAAACUUUAAAAGUAAAGUCAAUCUCAAGAAAUAAUUAAAGUCUAAUCAUCCAACGAGGAAUACUCCAUGUUAGAGUUUUGAAUCAUGGUUCAUGGAGAUAUUAGAUUGAGAGGAAGAUGAUUGUUGGUUAACCUUUACAUUGUGUACGAGAUCCUAUUUAUACAAGUAGCAUUUUAAUGAUAGAGUUUGAUUCAUGUAGAAAUUUGUUACACGCUCUUAACUAAUUUUAUAACCCUAGUAACUAACUUCAUAAGAACAUUAACUACAAUUUUAACUACUUAAGCAAACUUACAUCUAACAUUUUUCCAAUACUCCCUCACAUACAUAUGGCGGAUGGAAUGAAAACACCUUGAGUUUGGUUCAAAAAUCAGAAAAUAAAGUAGUCGAGAGUGGUUUUGUUAGCGCGUCCGCAAUCUGAGAAUGAAUUGGGACAUGUUGAAUGAGUAGUCGUUUCUCUACCACUUUCUCAUUGACAAAGUGAAUAUAAAGCUCAAUAUCCUUCGUUCUUGCAUGAAGGAUUGGAUUAUGAGACGACAUUACAUCACUGAGAUUGUCACAUAACAAGGUGAGAACUAAGUAAGGAAUAUGUUGUCAUUACUGUAAAAUAAACCUUUCGUAACACUAAAUUACAACGGUCUGGCUGUUAACCGUGGUAAUACCAUAUUUUUUGACGUACUUUGUUUUUUCUAUUUACGAAAAAAACCUUGCACUACGGUUAAACUAAUUAACCAUGAUUAUAUAUUUUUGGAGUAACCGAGUUCGAAUCUCAGCUCCGACAAUUUUCUACUUUUUCGUUACAAUAAGUGUUGUCCUUAUAAUAUGAUAUAUAAAUUAAGAUUAAAAUACCUAUCACCAUGGUUGUUAAUGUCAACCAUUUUGAAAGUCAUUACAUAUCAUCACGAUUUUUGAAUACGACCGUGAUGAAAUUGUUUACUCAUAUAUAAGCGAAUUAGUUCUCACAGCAAAACCGUAACACACAUUUUCUCUCUUCUUCUUCGUCAUUAGCUUUUCUAUUCUACAGUAUAACCUCAAUCUUGUUCUUCAUAAAUAAACAUAUUCUUCUUCUUCCUUGUUCUCUCGUUUUCGUGUAUGUUGUUGUUAUGUUUCACAUUAUUUUCACAUAAUUUUCUUCUUUUUCGAGAGUUUAUGGUUUUUUUAUGUUGUUGUUGUUGUUGUAUGUUAUAUUAAAAAAUGGUUUUCUCUUCUUGUUCAAAUUUCAGAUCAUUCUCUCAGAUUUCAGAUUCUUCUCUCAACAUGAAUAUUGGGAGCAAUAAGCUUAUCCACGAGAUUAAGGUUACAAAUGAGGUUAUUGAUAUGUUUGAGUUAUGGCUGAACAAAGCCAAGGAAGUCAGAGUUGUUAGAGAUCAUAUUAGUGUUAUUGAACCGUCUGGUGGAAUAGACUCUAAGAAGAUUCUUUUCAAGAAUCUUAACCUUGAAAAGAUGAAGAAGAUAUAGGCUAUUAUGAAAGAUCUAAUGAAUAUGGAUGCAACUGACUCUGAAUCAGAUUAUGAAUCAGAUGAUGACCUUGAGAACAAUGAAGACAUUGAGAAUUGCACGAAUUUAACUAGACAUGAAGAUUGAAGACCUUAUUAUGUUUGACAUGAAUUGCACGAAUAAUGUUAAGUCAUUUUAAUGAUUUUGUCACUCAAAUGAGAUCUAUAAUCAUAACAUGCAUAAAUACACUUGUUAUGGUAAACAUGAUCUUAGUUCACCUUCUUGUUUUAUAAGGAAAAAUCAUGAAACUAGUAUGAAAGGGACUUCUAGAAAUAGAAUGGUUUUCAGUAGUUCUAAGGCAAAAUGACUAAAAAAUGAUUUGUCUACCAAAGAUCAAAGACAUAUGUUUUGAUACAUGUUUGUUUUAAACUCGAACUCAAAAUGGUAUAUCAAUAGUAAUUGUUCAAAACACGUGACAAAAACAAAAAUAGUUCAUUAUCUUUUACUCCAAGAAGGUGAUGCUAAAAGUUAUUAUGGUAACAAUAAUAAAGGUAAAUGUGUUGGUUCUAACACGUUGGAUAAGAGUUCAAAUCUUACUUUUGAGUUUUUUUUUUUAAUUUUGAAAAUAUAUAACAAAAUUUACUUAGUAUUAAGAAAAUAGUGUGAUAUAUUUCCGGAUUGGAAAACAAUUUUUUUAAUAAAUCUUUUUCAAGAAAAAAAAUAUCAUGUCUAUACAAAAAUUCAUACAUAAUACAUUUGAUGGAACAAACCUCAUUUGUUUUAGAAUUAAAUUUUUUUGUUUUUGUAGAUAGACUAAGAACAAACUUCUUAGAAGAUAAAUACAAAAAUAAGGAAGAACAAACACAAAUAAGGAGAGUGGUUAAAACCAACCCUAAAUAAAUGCUAAGGCUAUUGAAAAUCUAGAAGUGAAUGUUCCAUUUCAAAACAUCAAUCAUGGUUGCGUCUAUAAAUCAUUGAAAUUUUUAUUUUAACAUACCUCUGACAUAAACACAUCAUUCACAUAUUUAAAUCACUUAGCAUUUAGUUUCAUCACUUUAUGAGUUGUUUCAUUUACACAAUAGGCUGUGCCUCUGAUUGUUUUUGUUUUUGUUUGUUUUUUCUUUCAAAUUCUUUGAUUUUGUUUUGUAAAUUUCUCUUAUCAUAUUUGACUUCUUGAAUGAUAACUUUCAUUUGUGUUUUGUCAUAUUUGUUAGAGGAUUAUCAACAAACUUGAUUGAGAUUUAUUUAUUUAUUUUAGACACUUGAUGAUUUACCUAACUGAUACAUUUCUUGAAUGAGUAGUAAGGGUAUUAUUAUUAUUAUUAUUAUUAUUAUUAUUAUUAUUAUUAUUUUGUUUGUGUUCUUUGUUAGAUGAUUGUGGCCCUUUUUGAAUUUUUUGUUAUUGUUGAAAUUAUGAGUGGAAGUGAAAUAACUCCAUAUUCUUCUAGAAGUGCUUCUAUCAUGGAAGACUUUACAAAAAUACUGAAUACUUAACUGAAUUGCUUGAAAAUAAAAUAGCUUAUCAAUUAAAGAGCCGUGAUAGUGCAUUAUGAAAAAUAUUUUCAAAAAUUUCAAGGAGAGAAGGAGAUGUGUAGCUAGGCAAUUUGAUGAUUAAGAUGAACUAAAAUAAAUUUUGAGAAAGACAUAUACACCAUCUCAUUAUUAAAGGGAACUCCAUAAAAAAAUCCACUAUAACAUAAGGUUUCAAGAGUGUGGAGAAUUACUAUAGAGACUUUGAGAAUCCACUAUAACAUUAGAGAGGAUAAAGAUAUUAUAAGAGUUAGGUUUAAACUAUGAGAUUAAAGAUGUUAUUGAGUUUUAUUCAUAAAUAUUAAGAAUUUUGUUCAUAUGUCAUCCACUUGUAAACAACAAAUAAAGGGAAAAAGUACUUAUAAAAGUAUUCCUCAAACAAGAAAUCAUCACAUUGAAAGGACAAACACAAGAGGCAGGAGAUUCUACACUAACAUUGGCUAAGAAAGAUAAGUUUUUUAAACUUAAAGAUCCACCCUCUAGUUCAUCUUAUAAUUUUUCAAUGAAAUGUCUGAAAUAUUUAAGAAAGGUCACAUAAAAUCAAAUUACUCAAAAAAAAAACAUUGAUUGAAAAGAAAAAUAGUACUUAUUAUGCCACAUAAACAGGAAAUUUAAAUAAAAUAAAAUUCAUCAAGAGAAAUAAUUAUUUUUAUUAAAUGGGAGGUUAAAAAUAUUAAAAUAGAUUGUAAAGAUAAUAAAUCUUCCUUUCUUUGCAAUUAUUGAAACUGAAAAAAUAAACCAAAGUAACAAUUUUGUCAAGGUUAUGUAGAUUCCGAUUUUGAGUUGAUCCAGUAAAAAUUGAUUUUAGUAGGGAAGAUCACAAUUUGAUUUCCUACCCUUGUAAUUAAAGAAGAGUUAGAAUUUUUUGAAGUCAAAAUUUAUCUCUAAACUGAAUUUAUUGAUCCAGUAAAUCGGAUAUUAAUGGUGGAAAAAAAUAAUAACUAUGCGACAGUUUUGUUAUGCAUUUAACAAUUUAACAGUUUGUCUCUUAAGUCAAUUCAAGUUAAUGUUAGAAAUUAUAAUAACGUAUAAGGUAUAAAAAAGUUUGUAAAGAGUAUAAUGAAUAGAAAAAUAGGUUAUAAUUUUGUUCUAUAUAAACCAUUGAAACUAGUUUAUCCAUAACAUUUCUUUUUCCUGAUUAUAUUAUUUUGAAGCUUUUUGAAAUGGCCAAGUAUUCUUUCAUGCUAAUUAUCUUUUUUAUCUUCAUAUUUUCAGGUAUAUUAUUUCUUGUCUAACCUUUUGUAUAUAUAUUCGCCUUAGUUCCUCCGUUUCAGAACUAUUAAUAUUUGACUCUCUUCCUAGUCUUGCCCCGUGUGACUGAUGGUGUUUAAAAAUUUAAAAGGUACGAAGCACAGAGUACAUAUUUAUAUAUUUAGGUUAGCUGUGUAGCAGAGCCCGACAUAUAUCGGUGCUUCGCAUUUGUAUGGUUCUUGAUUUUGUUACUUUCUAUUUUGUUUAUGACAUCAUUCAUAUAUUUACAUAUUUAUAUGGUUCUUGAUUUUGUUAUUUUGUUGCAUUAUCAUUAGGGUCCGAAUAUAUUGAGAAGGUGAGAGUAAUGUGGAACAAGAUAAAACAAAAUAAUUUUAGGAUUAUGGUAUGUUUGUUAUAUUAGGUUUCAUUAGCAUCAGAAUCUGAAUCCUUUGGUUUAUUUCUAUCGUUGAAAUAAUAUGCAUCGGUAGAAUCUUGUUGGAAUUCAUUUUGAUUUCUUUUUAUUUGCGAAUGGUAACUUAAGCGAAACUGAAUCAUGGAAUUUUAUAGAUAAUGUUCAAUUUCGUUGGUAGAACUUGUUCAACGAAUCUGAAGCACGAGUUUCUAUUAAUCCUGUUGAGACGAGCUAGUUAGAUAUGACUAGUUGACUUAAGAAAAAAGUUACUACAAUAUUUUAUAUAUGACUGGUUUUGCAUUAUUGUUUGUGUUUAUCGGACGUGAGAGUUAUUUUUUUCUAAACGCAGCAUACAAAAUCACUCACAUAUGUUUUGUGAGCAUCAUACUCAAUUAAAGUGUAGAAUCCAAGUAUAGAUCUAAAUGAAGAUAACUACAUUCACACACACACGAUGGUGGGGUCUGGUUAGUAGUUAGCCUAUAUUAAAAGUCAAUAUCAUGAAUAUGAAAAGUCAUACCAACUGAUUCAUUGAUUCAUUUACUCCAUAAUGUUGAAAAAGUACUUGCAGUUAACUACAAAGAACAUGAAAAAGUAUCAUUAUAAAAACAGAAAAUUUGGUUUAGAGUUCUUCAAAGUUUCUAUUUAUUAGUACCAUAUAUAUUAUUAUUAUUAUUAUUAUUAUUAUUAUUAUUAUUAUUAUUAUUAUUAUUAUUAUGAAAGUAAACUGAUAUUUGUAUCCAAAACAAAGAUAAAUUGUGAGUGCCCUGAUUUAGGUUAGAGAUAAUCAGGUUAGAGAUACAUUAUUAAGCGAUUUUGCACAAAGCGAUUUUGCACAAAUUCUGUUUUAUUUAUACAAGGGAUUUUAUUUUUACAGGAAAUGUCAACAAAAGGAUCAUCUAAACUAAAGACUUUGUGCACAUUGUGGAAAGAUUUAGAUGAACCUUUUAAAGCAUAGAUUAACAAUAGAAUAGAAAAUUAUGGUGAAGGUUAUAAACUCUUAAGAGUUUUAAGGCUUGUCCAAGAUAACUCAUGUGAAUUUUCAACAUCAUUGUUUGGAUUGUUCAUGAGUUAUUAUGGACUCCAAGAAAAUUAUUAUUGUUUUCAUGUUUGUGGUCAAAACAUGAACGUCACAUUGGAGGACGUUCUGUUUUUGACCAACUUGCCCAUUACGGGUCGAGCACUUAUAUCUUGAAGCAAUAGAGACCAUAUGGCUUUUAACAGAAUUUUUUCUUUACCUGUCACUCAUAAACUUAAGUUAACAGUGUUGAAAUUUUUUUGCUGCGAUAUUAAUAAAAAUGAUGAUGAUAGGAUUAAGGUCGUCAUCCUCAUGAUCGUGUCAUGUCUGAUCAUUCCAAGUGGGGAUGGACAAAAUUUCAAAACCACCUACGUCCAAUUUAUUGAAAAAUUUGACGAAGUUGACUCCUAUGCUUGGGGAGCGGCAAUAUUGUCCCAUCUAUAUCAAGGUCUGAAGGAGAAUAAUUUACGGAAUAAGAAAGUUGACGGCUUUGUAUGGCUGAUAAUGGUAAGUGCAUAUUUUUUCUUAUAUCUUCUUUUUUCUUACCUCUUUGUUUGAUAACUUUUUAACCAACUUUAUUUUCAUAGAGAUUCUUCAUUUAUCAUUUUAAAGGUCUUUAUGAAAUCCUCAAUAUUAAUGCAAUUAAUGCGGAGGAAGAUCAUAUGCCUAAUACGCCACUAUUGGCAUAUUUGAUAAAAGAUAUUUUCAAACUCGGCCAAAACCGCCACACAAAACCUCAUCAUCAAUUAGGACAAAAGUUUCAGUUGAUACGUAACUUCUUGGAUAUGGAUCAUGAGGUAAGAAAUGAUUUAUAUAGCUUAUGUAGGUUGUGAUUUUGUGGGAUAAUGGUUGGUUAAUUUUUAGAUCAGUUGAUACGUAACUUCUUGGAUAUGGAUCAUGAGGUAAGAAAUGAUUUAUAUAGCUUAUGUAGGUUGUGAUUUUGUGGGAUAAUGGUUGGUUAAUUUUUAGUUUGUUAUCUUUAUCUUUUGUUUAUUGUAUAACACAGGAUAUAGAAAAUUUUCCUAUUACUUGGCAUCCCUAUACUGAACAAAUGCUGCCUCCCGACCUGCAUGAUCAUAUUCAAUACCGUACUAUCGUCGCCCCAUUGUUUUGCUACAACCAUGUGGAGCCUUAAUAUCCAAAUGUUGUAGCAAAACAGUUCGAGGAACUUUAUGAUAUUAACUUGAUCGGUGUUGGAUCUGAUAUGUGAGUGAUUAUUUCAAAGGGAAAUAAAGGAAAUAAUCCCAUCAAUUUUAAAGCACAUUUUAAAAAAGAGCUGAGACAAUGGGAGGAUAUCGAUAGGCGGUAUGCACAAAACUUCCAGACUAUUGAAGCAUCAACUUCUGAGACGGCAGAUGAUAUUGAAGCAUCCACUUCCGAGACGGCAAGUGAUCACCAAUCACCCAAUAUUGAGAAUAGCACUAGUGGAGGUAAAAUAUUUAAUUAUGUUAUGGUUUUAGUUUACUUAUUACUAUUCAUUAGUGUGGUGCAUGUUAUCUUAUGAAUAUAUAAUUACGUUUUUAAUUAAGAAAAUGUUGUUUUUGAUUUGCCAAAUUUUAACAAUGUGAUAGAUGCAUGUGAGAUGUUGGUUGUUGAUUUUGAAAAAUAUGAGAUUACCAUACUAUCGUCGCCCCAUUGUUUUGCUACAACCAUGUGGAGCCUCAAUAUCCAAAUGUUGUAGAAAAACAGUUCGAGGAACUUGGUGAUAAUAACUUGACCGGUGUUGGAUUUGAUAUGGGAGUGAUUAUUUCAAAGGGAAAUAAAGGCAAUAAUCCCAUCAAUUUUAAAGAACAUUUUUAGAAAGAGCUAAGACAAUGGAGGGAUAUCGAUAGGCGGUUUGCACAAAACUUCCAAACUAUUGAAGCAUCCACUUCUGAGACGGCAGGUGAUAUUGAAGCAUCCACUUCCGAGACGGCAAGUGGUCACCAAUCACCCAAUAUUGAGAAUAGCACUAGUGGAGGUAAAAUAUGUAAUUAUGUUAAGGUUUUAGUUAUGAAUAAUGAUAAGUAAUCAGCAGUGCAUGUUAUCUUAUGAAUAUAUAAUUACGUUUUUAAUUAAGAAAAUGUUGUUUUUGAUUUGCCAAAUUUUAACAAUGUGAUAGAUGCAUGUGAGAUGUUGGCGGUUGAUUUUGAAGCAUAUGAGAUUACCGUACUAUCGUCGCCCCAUUGUUUUGCUACAACUAUGUGGAGCCUCAAUAUCCAAAUGUUGUAGCAAAACAGUUCGAGGAACUUGAUGAUAUUAACUUGACCGGUGUUGGAUCUGAUAUGGGAGUGAUUAUUUCAAAGGGAAAUAAAGGCAAUAAUCCCAUCAAUUUUAAAGCACAUUUUAAAAAAGAGCUGAGACAAUGGGAGGAUAUCGAUAGGCGGUUUGCACAAAACUUCCAGACUAUUGAAGCAUCCACUUCUGAGACGGCAGGUGAUAUUGAAGCAUCCACUUCCGAGACGGCAAGUGAUCACCAAUCACCCAAUAUUGAGAAUAGCACUAGUGGAGGUAAAAUAUUUAAUUAUGUUAUGGUUUUAGUUAUGAAUAAUGAUAAGUAAUCAGCGGUGCAUGUUAUCUUAUGAAUAUAUAAUUACGUUUUUAAUUAAGAAAAUGUUGUUUUUGAUUUGCCAAAUUUUUACAAUGUGAUAGAUGCAUGUGAGAUGUUGGCGGUUGAUUUUGAAGCAUACGAGAUUAUCGUACUAUUGUCGCCCCAUUUUUUUGCUACAACUAUGUGGAGCCUCAAUAUCCAAAUGUUGUAGCAAAAAAGUUCGAGGAACUUGAUGAUAUUAACUUGACCGGUGUUGGAUCUCAUUUGGGAGUGAUUAUUUCAAAGGGAAAUAAAGGCAAUAGUCCCAUCAAUUUUAAAGCACAUUUUAAAAAAGAGCUGAGACAAUGGGAGGAUAUCGAUAGGCGGUUUUCACAAAACUUCCAAACUAUUGAAGCAUCCACUUCCGAGACGGCAGGUGAUAUUGAAGCAUCCACUUCCGAGACGGCAAGUGAUCACCAAUCACCCAAUAUUGAGAAUAACACUAGUGGAGGUAAAAUAUUUAAUUAUGUUAUGGUUUUAGUUAUGAAUAAUGAUAAGUAAUCACCGGUGCAUGUUAUCUUAUGAAUAUAUAAUUACGUUUUUAAUUAAGAAAACUGUUAAUUUUUGAUUUGGCGGUCAAUUUUUAACAAUGCUCUAGAUGAUUAUGUGAGAUGUGGGCGGUUGAUUUUGAAGCUCCAUAUGAGAUUCCGGUAACAUAGCACUCCAAGCAUAGGAGUCAACUUCAUCCAAUUUUUCAAUAAAUUGGACGUAGGUGGUUUUGCAAUUUUGUCCAUCCCCACUUGGAAUGAUCAGACAUGACACGAUCAUGAGGAGGAUGACCUUGAUCCUAUCAUCAUCAUUUUUAUUUAUAUCGCAGCAAAAAAAUUUCAACACUGUUAACUUAAGUUUAUGAGUGGCAGGUAAAGAAAAAACUCUGUUAAAAGAAAUAGGGUCUUUAUUGCUUUCAAAUAUAAGUGCUCGGCCCGUAAUGGGCAAGUUGGUCAAAAACAUGACGUCCUCCAAUGUGACGUUCAUGUUUUGACCACAAACAGGAAAACAAUAAUAAUUUUCUUGUAGUCCAUAAUAAAUCAUGAACAAUUCAAACAAUGAUGUUGAAAAUUCAGAUGAGUUAUCUUGGACAAGCCUUACAACUCUUAACAGUGUAUAACCUUCACCAUAAUUUUCUAUUCUAUUGUUAAUCCGUGCAUUAAAAGGUCCAUCUAAAUCUUUCCACAGUGUGCACAAAGUCUUUAGUUUAGAUGAUCCUUUUGUUGACAUUUCCUGCAAAAGAAAAAUCCCUUGUAUAAAUAAAACAAAAUUUGUGCAAAAUCGCUUCGUGCAAAAUCGCUUAAUAAUGUAUCUCUAACCUGAUUAUCUCUAACCUAAAUCAGGGCACUCACAAUUUCAUCUUUGUUUUGGUAAAAUAUCAGUUUAUUUUCAUAAUAAUAAUAAAAUAAUAAUAGAUAUAAGAAAUAAUAUAAUAAUAAUGAUAAUAUAAUAAUAACAAUAAUAACUAAUAAAUAGAAACUUUGAACAACUCUAAACUGAGCGGGGUAUUCGUUACCUUUAGAUUUAUUGACUAAAUCAAAAGUAAGCAUACAAUUUGAGUCGUCACCGCACUUCUAUUAAGGUUAGAAAAGCGAACAAAAACCGAGAAGUUUUAUCAAAUCAAAACUAAUAAAAAAGUCAGAGAUCUGGGUAAGGGGGUUGGUUAUGCAAUGGGAAGGUUUUAAGGCACCCAAAACAUCCUAGUACUCUAAGGGAACCCUUUUUGCAAGAUGUAUUGUGGUUGGUAUUUGUGAAAAUAUUUGUGCAAACAGAGGAUGGGAGAUGAGAAAAGAAUAUACAUAUUUACAAUUUUGUUGUUUGAAUGGAUAAACCCAUUGUCUACGUACCAUCCACAAAGAUAGGAUCAAAACUAGUAGUUCGGGGUAAAAUCUCAAAGAUUGGUGAAUUGUUUGGACAAAGCCUUAAGGUCUUUUGUUAUCAAGGGAGAAAACUCAACCUAAACCAACAAUCCACCAUGUGAGGAGGGCUUCAACAUACUAGUGAGGGAUCCACCCUAAUAAUAAGUAUGGAAGACUUAUAUCCAAUCACUAAGGAUAAGGUGAGGUUACAUCAAACCACUAUGAUAACUCAAACCCAUGGCUAAUGUUUAUGAAAAAGUUUUAACAAGGUGGCCAUUGGAACCACAAAAACACUUUGAAAUGAGUUGUAUUUACAAGUUAGAAAUAUUUACAAAAUGUAGUCAAAGUACGAUUAAGGUUCAUUCAAGAUAAGUAUUAACGAAAAGGGUUUGAAAGAUCAAAGGCAUGUGGCCUAGGUUCUAGUUUUGAAAACAAUGUCAAUGUUUGCACAAAAUGAGUUGGCUUGGGUUAGAGUGAGGAGAGAAAGAAGGGCUAGUCUAAAACAUGCAAAGAUGAGAGAAGAGAUAAAACCCUUGAGUUCCUUUCUUGAGAUCAUAAAGUGAUUCAGAAAUGCUUCUUCCUUUGGACAUAGCAAGCAACAAGCAAUCAAAGUAAAUAUUAUAUUCAAGCCCCUAGGAUCUCCAUUUGACUUGUCUCUCUAAACUUGGCUAUUCAUGACAAUGGUCUUCUUACUAUCUCAAGUUUGGAUUCCCUAUCACACAAGAACAAACAAUCAAAAAGUUCACAAUGCAAUAAGAGGAAUGGACAAAGAGUGAAUUUAGAUUAGGGGUCAUUUCAAGUCAACUUCAAGAUUAAGCAUUCUAAAGGCAUGAGGCCUUGUUGCUCUUCAACAAGUUUAGCAUUCUAAAGGCAUGAGGUCUAGUUGCUCUUGAACUCCAUUAAGCAUAGGUAAAGUCCUAAUUCUGAGUCUUUCUCCUUUUUGCAUUGGGCUCACACAAACAAAGAUAAAACAAGCACAAGCAACAAUAUAUUACAUAAUAAUGUGCUCAAAUGAGCAAAGGGAAAAUGGCAGAAACAUAAAAUAUCAUCUCAAGUGAGCAAAGGGAAAAGGCAAUAUGAAUAAAUGAGCAAGAAAGUAAAUGCAUUAAGUAAAGAAAGAUCAUUCUUAAUUCCAACAUAUUACAAUAUGAAAAAAAAACAUCAGAUAAAACAAAAAUAUCUGCAGAACCAUAGAAAACAAAACCAUAGAAGGGAAAAUAGUAUCUUUAUCAUAUAGAUAGACCAUUAUAUUUUGGAUGUUGUGAAAAAUUGUUUCGUUGUCCCCUCUCAUCAGAUCAAUGAUUUAUUGGUGGAUAAGCCUAGAAUCUAUAGAUCAAUGAGGUUAAUAAAGUGAAUUACAAUUUAAAAGCUAAAAAUUCAUAUUUUUUUAAUUAGGUAUGGUUGCAUUUUUUGUUUCACACUUUAAUAUUACUAGAGAAAUAUGGAAGUCUGCUCAAGUUACCCAUGAUGGUACACACAAGAUUGAAGGGUUAGGAUUAACAUAUUAAUCAAUGGAAAAAUAAUAGCUUAGAAUGAAACCUCAAGAAAAUCUAAGAUAUGCAAAAUUGUUUCAUGCAUAUAUUACUUCACUUAAGAACUUUGAGUAAAUUUUUACAAUUUGGAUUUAACUAAAAAAAGUCCUUAGAUGUUUAAAGAUAUGGAGUCUAAAUAUUCGUCUUCUAUGAAUUUGACUACUCUAUUGGUAAAUUGCAUGAACACGAGACAUAACUAACAUAUUGCUGAACGAGAGAAGGUGGAAAAAAUACUUGCGCUAAGAUAUAAAGGUUAAAGAUAUGGAGUCAGAAAAUUAAAUUUCCAAAAUGAAAAUGAUGAAAACUUGGAUCUUCUAUUUUUUCAAAUUCAAAAAAUUUCCAUGGAAUAGAAAAUAAACCUCCAAACAUUCAAAAUCAAAGUAAAGAAAGAUCAUUCUUAAUUCCAACAUAUUACCAAUGUGAAAAAAAAACAUCAGAUAGAACCAAAAUAUCUGCAGAACCAUAGAAAAUUUUAAAUAUACAGAAUACCACAAAAAUCAAAAGGAGUUUAUGUUUAAUAGAUGAAAACAACAUUGACUCCUCCAAUGACCGAGAAAAAGGGAAGAAAGCAACUUGUCUUCCAUGGAAAAUCACAAAAAAAUAAAGUAAAUAUUAUAACUUUUCACUUUAUUUAUUUGCAUUCUUCUCAAUUUGUAAGAGUUAAAUAAUAAAUAAGUAAUUAAAAAACAUUGUUAUUGUGUCUAAAAGACUAUCUCCUCUAUUGAAAAUGAAAAUGAAAAUGAAAACUAGAAGAGGAAAUAAUUCGUCUUAAAGAGAAAAUAAUAAUUAAAAUUCAAGACAUCCCUCUGUUCCUUAUGAUAAUAAAUUUAAAAAUCUAUCAAAUGUGUAAAUUGCAAAGUGUUAGAUUUUAUUUUUUGAAAUAUUUCAUAACACACAUGAUAAAAUCAAUAAAGAGAAAGAUAAUUGGAAUAUCAUUUUAGAUAAUCAAAAUGGAAUUUUAAAGAUUUUGUAACUCAAAUGAGAUUGAUAAUCAUAAUGCAUAAAUACACUUAUUGUAAACAUGAUCUAAUUUCACCUCUUGUUUUAUAAGGAAAAAUCAUGAAACUAGUAUGAAAGGGACUUCUAGAAAUAGAAUGAUUUCGCUAGAAUAAGGCAAAAUGAUAAAAAAUGAUUUGUGUACCAAAGAUCAAGACAUAUGUUUUGAUAUAUGUGUGUUUUAAACUCAAAUUCAAAAUGGUAUAUCAAUAGUAAUUGUUCAAAGCAGGUGACAAAAACAAAAAUAGUCAUCAUCUUAUACUCCAAGAGGUGAUGCCAAAACAUUAUGGUGACAAAAUAAAGUAAAUGUGUUGGUUCUAGUAUGUUUGAUAAGAGUUCAAAUCUUACUUUUGAGUUGUAUUAUUUUGAAAGUAAUAUAACAAAUUACUAGUAUUAAAAAAAAGUGUGACAAUAGUAAUGACAUAUGCCUGAUUCUUCUAUGUGGAGAAUCAUAAAAUUGGAAAACAAUUUUAUUUUAAAGUAAACUUUUUUCAAGAAAAAGAAUAUCAUAUCUAUAGAAAAUUCAUACAUAAUACAUUUUAUAAAUAAACCUCAUAUUUAAACUAAGAACAAACUUCUUAGAAGAUAAAUAUAUAGACGAAGAAUAAACUUCUUAGAAGAUAAAUACAAAAAAAGAGAACAAAUGCAAUAAGGGACAACCUCAAAAGGGAGUGAUUAAGACCAACCCUAAAUAAAUGAUAAGGAUAUGAAAAUCUAAAAGUGAAUGUUCCAUUUCAAAUAUCAUCAUGGUUAUCUCUAUAAACAUUGAAAUUUUUAUUUUACUCUGACAUAAUCACAUCAUUCACAUAUUUAAAUCACUUAGCAUUUAGUUAUCACUUGUUUAAUAUACACAUUAGGGCGUGCCUAUGAAUGUUUUUGUUUUUGUGAUUUUGUUUCUUUCAAAUUCUUUGAUUUGUUUUGCAAAUUCUCUUGUCAUAUUUGACCUCUUGGAUGAUAACUUUCAUUUAUGUUUUGUCAUAUUUGCUAGAGAUUAUCACAAACUUGAUUGGAUUUGUUUAUUUAUUUUAGAACCUGAUGAUAUACAUAACUAAUACAUUUCUUGAAUGAGUAGUAAGGGCAUUAUUAUUAUUAUUUAUUAUUAUUAUUAUUAUUAUUAUUAUUAUUAUUAUUAUUAUUAUUAUUAUUUGUGUUCUUUCUUAGAUGAUUGUGGCCCUUUUUGAAUUUUUCAUUAUUGUCGAAAUUAUGGUGAAAGUGAAAUAACUCCAUAUUCUUCUAGAAGUGCUUCUAUCAUGGAAGACUUUACAAAAAUAUCGAAUACUUAACUGAAUUGCUUGAAAAUAAAAUAGCUUAUCAAUUAAAGAGCGUGAUAUUUUAAAAUUUCAAGGGAGAGAAGGAGAAUUCUAGCUAGGCAAUUUGAUGAUUGAGAUGAAUUAAAAUAAACUUUGAGAAAGACAUACAUCAUCUCAUUAUUAAAGGGAACUCCAUAAAAGAAUCCAAAGGAUAAUAAGUAAGGUCAAGAGUGGAGAGAAUACAUAGAGACUUUGAGAAUUCCACUAUAACAUUAGAGAGGAUAAGAUAUUAUAAGAGUUAGGUUUAAACUAUGAGAUUAAAGAUGUUAUUGAAUUUGUUCAUAAUUAUAGAAGUUUGUUCAUAUGUCAUCCACUUAAUAAAAUAUUCCUCAAACAAGAAAUUAUCGCAUUGAAAGGACAAACACAAGAGGGAGGAGAUUCUACACUAACAUUGGCUAAGAAAGAAGUUUUUAAAUGAAAUGUUUGAAAUAUUUAACAACGGUCACAUAAAAUCAAUUACUCAAAGAAAAAUAAUGAUUGAAAAAAAAGUACUUAUUAUACACAUAAAACGGAAAUUUAAAUAAAAUAAAAUUCGUCAAGGAAAUAAUUAUUUUUAUUAAAUUGGAGGUUAAAAAUAUAUAAAUAGAUUGCAAAGAUAAUAAAUUUCCUUUCUUUGCCGUUAUUGAAACUGAAAUAAUAAACCAAAGUAAUAAUUGAUGUUGAUUUUAGUAGAUAUCAUAAUUCGAUUUUUACAGUUGUAAUUAAAAAAAAUAUAGUUUUACGACAGUUUUGUUAUGCAUUUAACAGUUUUUCUCUUAAAUCAAUUUGAGUUAAUGUUAGAAAUUAUAAUAACGUAAAAGUUAUAAAAAAGUUGGUAAAGAGUAUAAUGAAUAGAAAAUAUGUUAUAAUUAUGUUCUAUAUAAACCCUUGAAACUAGUUUAAUCAUAAAUUUUUUUCCUGAUUAUAUUUUGAAGCUUUUUGAAAUGGCCAAGUAUUCUUUCAUGCUAAUCAUCUUUUUAUCUUCAUUUUUCAGGUAUAUUUUUAUAUUAAAAUUUGUAACAUUUAACUAUAUUAUUUUUAUAUUAAAAUUUGUAGCAUUUCUUAUCUAACCUUUUAUAUAUAUAUAUAUAAUAUAUAUAUAUAUAUAUAUAUAUAUAUAUAUAUAUAUAUAUAUAUAUAUAUGACAAUAAUGAAUACAAAUGUCAUUUGAAAGAAUACAUUAUUUUACAUUGAAUCUUGUGUGUAACUUCCCACUUCUGUUAGGCUAUGAAAUAAUAUUUAAAAAAAAAUUUAAGUUAAAUAUUCAAUUUUCAGAUGUCAUCUCAUUUAAUUAUUAAUAUUCACACUUUUUAAGUUAAAAUUUUGAAAUUUAGAUAUUAUCUCAUAUUCAAAUAUUAAUAUUGUUAAAUAAUUAAGUUUGAGAUAUCAUCUCAUAUUUAAAUGUCAAUAUUCACAAUUUUUAAAGUUAAAUACUAAAUUUUUAGAUAUUAUUCUUAUUCAAAUAUUAAUAUUUACGACUUUUUAAGUUAAAUAAUCAAAUUUGAGAUACCAUCUCAGAUUCAAAUAUUAAUAUCACAUUUUUAAAAUCAGAUAUUCAAAUUUCAAAUAUCAUCUCAUAUUCAAUAUUAAUGUUACAAAUUUUUAUGUUAAAUAUUAUAAUUUUAGAUUAUGCUAUUAAUAUCUCACUUUAUUAAGUCAAAUGUCUGUAAUUUUACACACAAUAUACCAACAAAACACAAAAGUAUUGAAAGAUUUGAAAAUAAUAUAAUAUUUAAAAUUUAAAACGUGGGUAUAUGUUUCUUAAUGAUUUUGAUUUAAAUAACAUUUAAUGUUUGUAUUUGAAAAUAUUAUUCCUUCUCCAAUAUUGUUCAAAGAAAUAUAACUUUUCUAAAUACUUUUUCUUUAGUUGUUUUUUCAUGCUAAUUAUGCUCUUUUUUUUACAGUCAUAUCAAUGACAAAUGGAUAGACAGACCAAGAGAAUGUUUUAAAACUCGUGAGGGACAAUGCAUCCUUAAUGCGUGUGGAGCAUGGUGUUAUCAAAUUUAUAAGGGUUAUGGAACUUGUAUACAAGGUGGUACAGAUCCUAUAACCCAAUUUAUAAAUGUAUUUGUAGAUAUAUUGUUGCCACCUAGAAUUAAAAACAUCACCUUUAGAUCAUAUUUUUAAAUGUAGAAGAUAUCAGAAUAAAGAUGAUAAAUUUGAGGCAAUUCAAUUAUUGAUAGUUUAUUUAAGUGUUUCUUAUAUUUAUUGUAAUUCAAGACAAAAAAAUAAAUAUAAGAUUGUUUUAUUUUAUGAAAUUUUGAUUAUAGUAUAAGCCUUUUAUCUCAAAAGUGUUGAAAAAUAUAUAACAAAACAAUGAAAAAAUUUAUUUGGUUUAAUUUAAUCUUUAAAAGUAAAGUCAAUCUCUUAAGAAAUAAUUAAAAGUCUAAUCAUCCAAUGAGGAAUACUCCAUGUUAGAGUUUUGAAUCAGGGUUCAUGGAGAUAUUAGAUUGAGAUGAAGAUGAUAGUUGGUUAACCUUUACAUUGUUUACGAGAUCCUAUUUAUACAAGUAGCAUUUUAGUGAUAGAGUUUGAUUCAUGUAGUAACUAACUUCAUAAGAACAUUAACUACAAUUUUAACUACUUAAGCAAACUUACAUCUAACAUUUUUCCAAUACUCCCUCACAUACAUAUGGCGGAUGGAAUGAAAACACCUUGAGUUUGGUUCAUUAACUACAAUUUUAACUACUUAAGCAAACUUACAUCUAACAUUUUUCCAAUACUCCCUCACAUACAUAUGGCGGAUGGAAUGAAAACACCUUGAGUUUGGUUCAAAAAUCAGAAAAUAAAGUAGUCAAGAGUGGUUUUGUUAGCGCGUCCGCAAUAUGAGAAUGAAUUGGGACAUGUUGAAUGAGUAGUCGCUUCUCAACAACUUUCUCAUUGACGAAGUGAAUAUAAAGCUCUAUAUCCUUCGUUCUUGCAUGAAGGAUUGGAUUAUGAGACAACAUUACAUCACUGAGAUUGUCACAUAACAAGGUGAGAACUAAGUAAGGAAUAUGUUGUCACUACUGUAAAAUAAAUCUUUCGUAACACUAAAUUACAACGGUAUGACUGUUAACCGUGGUAAUACCAUAUUUUUUGACGUACUUUGUUUUUUCUAUUUAUGAAAAAAACCUUGCACUACGGUUAAACUAAUUAACCAUGAUUAUAUAUUUUUGGAGUGACUGAGUUCAAAUCUCAGCUCCGACAAUUUUCUACUCUUUCGUUACAAUAAGUGUUGUCCUUAUAAUAUGAUAUAUAAAUUAAGAUUAAAAUACCUAUCACCAUGGUUGUUAAUGUCAAUCAUUUUGAAAGUCAUUACAUUUCAUCACGAUUUUUGAAUACGACCGUGAUGAAAUUGUUUACUCAUAUAUAAGCGAAUUAGUUCUCACAGCAAAACCGUAACACACAUUUUCUCUCUUCUUCUUCGUCAUUAGCUUUUCUAUUCUACAGUAUAACCUCAAUCUUGUUCUUCAUAAAUAAACAUAUUCUUCUUCUUCCUUGUUCUCUCGUUUUCGUGUAUGUUGUUGUUAUGUUUUACAUUAUUUUUACAUGAUUUUCUUCUUGUUCGAGAGUUUAUGGUUUUUUUAUGUUGUUGUUGUUGUUGUUGUUGUUGUAUGUUAUAUUAAAAAAUGGUUUUCUCUUCUUGUUCAAAUUUCAGAUCAUUCUCUCAGAUUUCAGAUUCUUCUCUCAAAAUGAAUAUUGGGAGCAACAAACUUAUCCACGAGAUUGAGGUUACAAAUGAGGUUAUUGAUAUGUUUGAGUUAUGGAUGAACAAAGCCAAGGAAGCCAGAGUUGUUAGAGAUCAUAUUAGUGUUAUUGAACCGUUUGGUGGAAUAGAUUAUAAGAAGAUUCUUUUCAAGAAUCUUAACCUUGAAAAGAUGAAGAAGAUAUAGGCUAUUAUGAAAGAUCUAAUGAAUAUGGAUGCAACUGAUUCUGAAUCAGAUUAUGAAUCAGAUGAUGACCUUGAGAACUAUGAAGACAUUGAGAAUUGCAUGAAUUUAACUAGACAUGAAGAUUGAAGACCUUGUUAUGUUUAACAUGAAUUGCACGAAUAAUGUUAAGUCAUUUUAAAGAUUUUGUCACUCAAAUGAGAUCUAUAAUCAUAACAUGCAUAAAUACACUUGUUAUGGUAAACAUGAUCUUAUUUCACCUUCUUGUUUUAUAAGGAAAAAUCAUGAAACUAGUAUGACAGGGACUUCUAGAAAUAGAAUGGUUUUCAGUAGUACUAAGGCAAAAUGACUAAAAAAUGAUUUGUCUACCAAAGAUCAAAGACAUAUGUUUUGAUACAUGUUUGUUUUAAACUCGAACUCAAAAUGGUAUAUCAAUAGUAAUUGUUUAAAGCACGUGACAAAAACAAAAAUAGUUCAUCAUCUUAUACUCCAAAAAGGUGAUGCUAAAACUAUUAUGGUGACAAUAAUAAAGGUAAAUGUGUUGGUUCUAAUAUGUUUGGUAAGAGUUCAAAUCUUACUUUUGAGUUGUUUUAAUUUUGGAAAGUAUAUAACAAAAUUUACUUAGUAUUAAGAAAAUCGUGUGACAUUUUUCCGGAUUCUACUACGUGGAAAACAACUUUUUUUAGUAAAUCUUUUUCAAGAAAAAAAUAUAUCAUGUCUAUAGAAAAAUUCAUACAUAAUACAUUUGAUGAAAUUACCCUCAUAUUUGUUUUGGAAUUAAAUUUUUUUGUUUUUGUAGAUAGACUAAGAACAAACUUCUUAGAAGAUAAAUACAAAAAUAAGGAAGAACAAACACAAAUAAGGGACAACCUCAAAAGGGGAGUGAUUAAGACCAACCCUAAAUAAAUGAUAAGGAUAUUGAAAAUCUAGAAGUGAAUGUUCCAUUUCAAAACAUCAAUCAUGGUUACCUCUAUAAAUCAUUGAAAUUUUUAUUUUACCAUACCUCUGACAUAAACACAUCAUUCACAUAUUUAUAUCACUUAGCAUUUAGUCUCAUCACUUUAUGAGUUGUUUCAUUUACACAUUAGGGCGUGCCUCUGAUUGUUUUUGUUUUUGUGCUUUUGUUUCUUUCAAAUUCUUUGAUUUUGUUUUGCAAAUUUCGCUUGUCAUAUUUGGCCUCUUGAAUGAUAACUUUCAUUUAUGUUUUGUCAUAUUUGUUAGAGGAUUAUCACAAACUUGAUUGAGAUUUGUUUAUUUAUUUUAGGAACUUGAUGAUAUACAUAAUUGAUACAUUUCUUGAAUGAAUAGUAAGGGCAUUAUUAUUAUUAUUAUUAUUAUUAUUAUUAUUAUUAUUAUUAUUAUUAUUAUUAUUAUUAUUAUUGUAGCGGGGUAUUCGUUACCUUUAGAUUUAUUGACUAAAUCAAAAGUAAACCAUACAAGUCGAGUCGCCACCGGACUUCUAUUUAUCCAAAGGAAAGAUUAGAAAGCGAACUAAAACCGAGAAGUUUUACGAAUCAAAAACUAAUAAAAAUGUCAGAGAUCGGGGUAAGGGGGUUGGUUAUGCAAUGGGAAGGUUUUAAGCACCCAAAACAUCCUAGGUACUCCUAGGGAGCCCUUUUCACACUUGUUGUAAGGUUGGUAUUUUGUGAAAAAUUUGUUUGUGCAAACAUGAUUGAGGAGAUGAGAAGAGAAUAUACAAGUUAUUUACAAUUUGUGUUUGGAUGGAUAAACUCAUUGCAUACGUACCAUCUUAAAAAAGAUUAGGAUCAAAACCUCAUAGUUCGGGGUAAAAAUCUCAAAACAAGUUGGUGAAUUGAUUGGGUCCAAAAGCCUUAAGGUCUUUUGUUAUCCAAGGGAGAAAACUCAAGCUAAAAACCACAAAUCCACCAUGUGAGGAUAACUUCAACAUGCUAGUGAGGGGUUAACCCUAUAAUAAGCAUGGAAGACUCAUUGUCCAUCACUAAGAAUAUAUGUGAGUAUUACAUCUACCUCAAGGAUAACUCAAACCUAAUAGCUAAAGGUUAAGAAAAGUUUUUGAUAAGAAAGUGGCCAUUGAAACCACAAAAGUAUUUGUAUGGGUUAUAUUUACCAAUGAAAAGUAUUUACAAAAUAUAUGGUCAAAGUUGACUUAAAGAUUCAAUUCAAAAUAAGUGUUAUGAAAAGAAAGUUUGAAAAUCAAAAGCAUAAUGCUUAGGUUUCUAAUGUUUGAAAACAAGUGUUAAUAUUUGCAAAAAAGUUUUGGCUUGGGUUAGAGUGGAGGGAAGAAGAAGAAUGGCUAAAGUCUUAAUCAUACAAGAGAUGAAGGAGAAUAAAUAAGACCACAAAUGGAGUUCCCUUCUUGAGAUCAUAUUGAUGAUCCAAGUAGCUCCCAUCCUUUGGAAUAAGCAAACAAAUAAGUAUAAACUCAAGCAAUCAAUCAAGCAAGCAAGCUCUUAGAAGAUCCCCAAUAGCUCUUAGAUCUCUUCUCUUUAGAAGCUCAUGACAAUGGUUCUUCAAUUUGGCUCAAAUAGGAUUCCCUAGCACAAAAGCACACACAUCAAAAAGUUCCAUGAAGUAAAUCAAGAAUGGACAAGAGUGAGUUUAGAGAUUUGGUCCUUCUAAUCCAUCUAUUCAAUUUGGCUCAAAUAGGAUUCCCUAGCACAAAAGCACACACAUCAAAAAGUUCCAUGAAGUAAAUCAAGAAUGGACAAGAGUGAGUUUAGAGAUUUGGUCCUUCUAAUCCAUCUUCAACAUUUAGGCAUUUUUACUCCAUUUUUGCAUAGGGAAUGUCCUAGAAUCUAAGUCCUUUUUGUCCAUUUUGGUCCACAACAAUCAAAACAAAAGCACAAGCACAAUAAUAUAUACAACAUUAUAUGCUCAAGUGAGCAAAAGGCAAAUUGCAUUAACAUAAACAUGUGCUCAAAUGAGCAAAGGGCAAAAGCAAAUAAAUAAUAUGUACAAGAAUAGUAAAUUGCAUAAAUGUAAAGUGCAAGAAUUAAAUGUUAAUGGUUAAUGGUUAGUGUUAGAGUUAGUGUGCCAUAAGGCAAUUUAACGCUAUGUUAAGCAAUCGUAAUUGGACUUAUGUAGAAGUCACAACUAUCUGAGACCGGUCAAUAAUAAUGUAGGAAACAACACAAGUUAGAGAUUUUGAUUAGUGAAUCAAACUCCUACAACUUGCCAUGCCAAAAAGAAGAUGAGAAAUGAUCUUGUAUUGAUUUAGGUUCUUUGCUUGAUUAGGAAGCAACCUACACUUAAUGCAAAUUCAUUCACUUGAUCCAUGAUCAAGAUGAAUUAGAUUUGAAUCAAGGAAGGUUAGACCUCCCAUACAUCAAGGCUAACCACCAAUCUUUAACUCAUUGAUCAAAAAAGAAAAACAAGAAGAAGAAAAAGAAGAAGAAGAUGAAUAUUAAAGUACAUUAAUGGAAAUGAAAUGAAAUAAUCAACAAACAUUGACCAAGGAUAGAGAAGAUCAAGGUCAAACAAUGGUAAACAGAGGCAAAAUGGAGAUUAGAAGUCAAGAAACAAAUAAAAUUUUUUUGAUAUUUUUUAAAAGUAAAAUAAUACUUGAAUUGAAAUAAUAAAGAAAGGUCAAACUUCAAAAUCACUUCAAAUCAACUUUGAAAAGUCCAAGUGAAUUAUCCUAAAUUCAACAAGGUCAAACAAAGUUUGACAAAAAAUUUCAGCAUUUUUAGAAGUCAGAAACUAUUUUUAAUCAAUUAAAAAUGCAUAUAAAUAACCUAAUUGAAUUAAAAUCUCAAAUCAAUUAAUAAAUUGAUGAGAAUAUUUUUCAUAGAUCUAUCAUCAUUCAAAGAGGUUGGAAAAAUAUUUUUGUAUUUUUUGAAUAUCAAAAACUAUUUAAUUAAAAUCUCAAAUCAAUUAAUAAAUUGAUGAGAAUAUUUUUCAUAGAUCUAUCAUCAUUCAAAGAGGUUGGAAAAAUAUUUUUGUAUUUUUUGAAUAUCAAAAACUAUUUUAAAUGAAUUAAAAAGAACCAGAAAAAGAGAAAAUUCCUAAAAAAAUAUCAAAUGAUAAAAUAAAAAAAAUUAAAAAUCACUUUUGGAAACUAGAAAUUAAAAGAAGAAAAAUGCAAUUGGUCUCACAUUUUUUGGACCAAUAAUGGAGGAGAUAUGAAUUUUUUAAAUGAAAUGGAAUUAAAGAAAUAAAAAGAAAUUAAAAUAAGAAAUUAAAAUAAUGAAAAAAACGUGGAGCGUUGGAUGCAAAGCUCAUUAAUUGAGCUGGAAAAUCGCUUGGUCCACAUAUGCGUGCCUACCAUGUACCUUAGUCAAUGUAAUCACACUUGGCCUUUAAACAAGUCAUAACAUUGAGUGACCUGGAUUAAAUCUGGAAAAGCAAAUGCACGGUUCAGAUUCAAUCUGGAGACCAGACGGUGGUGUACACCACCGUCUUCAUCCGGCCAACUUCCGGCACUGGUCAAAUUUGCAGAGAAAUAAAUGUGCAUGAAAAGCCACGAUCCAGGUACCAAACGAAAGCUGGGGUGAUGUACAUCACCCCUAUGCCAACCAAAUCCACUCUAGAUUCCUAUUGAGAGAGAAAUCAGAGGUUGAAUUUCAUGGAGUUCAACUGAAACUUGUUGGAUUUUGAAAUUUCAAAGCUCAAAAAGAUUGCCUCUAUGAAGAGGACUUCAAACAACACAGCAACAACAAGAAACAAGCAAUAUAUUAGUGGAUUCGAAGAAAAUAAAAUCUGAAGUAAACCUCUGAUUUGCAGAGUUUGAGAGCACGAUUUCUUGGUGAUUAAGCUUGCAGUGUGAUCUAUGGAUUAAGGUAAGCAAGGCUAAGGAACUUUAGAUCUAAAAAUCAAUAAAUGAAAUUGAAGUUUAGAUCUGAAAAAAUUGAGAGAAAAUGGUGAGUUCCUUUGAUUAUGGGUGAGGAAUCAACCGUGCAGCAUGUAAGGCGCCUUCAGGUUAUUGAAAUGAGGAGCAUAAGGCACUUAUUUAUAGCAAAAGGCAUGGCUGAAAGCAUGAUCAUUUCAUUGCAUGGAUGGAAAGGGCCUCCAUGCAUGGGCCUGUACAGGCGCAUGGAGGGCCCAAUUCCACUUGAAUUUGCAAGCUAAUCAUCAGCAGAUGUAAAUUGGACGUGCAGAUGGUGUAUGUUAGGUCAUGCAAUGCAAAUUUAAUUGAUUUUCAAAAAUGCACCAAUAUGUUCAUGCUUUCGAAAAUGCCAUGUCCAUACUUGAAACACAACCUUAUGAGUAAUGGUUGGACAACUUUUUGCAUGAGGAUCAUUUGUUAUGUUGAUCAAAACUUCAUUUGAAACUUGGAAAUUGAUGAAAAAUGAUCAUGAAGUGUAGGGUGCAAAACAUGUACAUGUGAAAACUUCAAAAAUGGUCAAACUUUAAGCAAUCCUGUUUCAAUGAUGCAAGCUCCAAAUGAUAAAAUCUUCAACAUCAAAGUUGUAGAUAUUUUCAAGACAAUAAAUAUGGACUUAUAUUUUGCAUCAUUUAUAUUUUUGAUGAAGAAGUUAUGGGCACUUGAAGUUGGACUUUUUCACAUUUCAAUGCUUUUGGUUCAAAGUGACCUAUAAUGUUUUGCAUUAUCACAUGUAUUUCUUUUAGGAUUUUGAAAUUUUGCUCAACAUAACAUUUUAAGUAGACAACUUAAUCUUUCCAAUUCAUUUAAUAUCACCUCAAAAUCAUGAAAAAUGAAGGAGCUAUGUCCUUGGGAAGUUGACCCAAAAUUAGGGUUUUAGUCAAAAAUGACCUAUAAUGUUUUGAAAUGGAUGAUGACCUUCCAAGCUUCAAAUAAUUUUUAUGAACAUGAAAGUUGUUCAUAAGAUUCUUAAGAACAUUGUUUCUCUUGGGGUUACUCCAUUUGACAAACACAUUAAAAGUUAGGUCUCAGUGUACUUCAAAAUAGUCAUAUGAAUUGACUGAUCAACUUCUCAAGUCUACACCUCAUACUCUUGAUGAAUUGAUGAUUGAGGAUACUCAAGUAGUUCAAAUAUGCAUGAAAUGAUGAUUUAAAGAACUUCCCUUGAUUGCAUUUGAUCAUAGGUUGAGGUUGCUUCAUGAGCAACGCAUAGUUGAUGAACAGAUAAAUUACGGCUUCCUUGGGAAACAAACCUCAAACCCUUUGGUUUGCUUUGAUCAAAAUUAUGAAUUGAGAUACUUGGGAGGCAUAUUUGAUGUAUGAGAGCUUUGGGAACCAUUGACAUGCUUGCUUUCAUCUUCCCUUGACUAUAUCAGUGCACCUAGGAUCUCCUAGAAGUUUUGGAUCUUGUGACUGCUCAAGCUACAAACAAAAGAUGUUAGUGACAUAUUUUUGUGUUUUUGGUUAGUGAAUAAAAUGAGAGAAGCAAUAAUAUACAAUUCAAGUAUGCUUGGUGAUCUCAAACCAAUUCUCAAAAGUUCCCACCCCAAAGGUAAGAAGCCAAGAUGCUUAUGAUCCUUGAGGCAAAAUGCAAAUGCAAUGAUAUGAUGCCAUGAGGGAUCUUAGGGUCAAAAUUGGGAUCUUACAAUUAUUAUUAUUAUUAUAUUGUUUGUGUUCUUUGUUAUAUGAUUGUGGUCCUUUUUGAAUUUUUUGUUAUUGUUGAAAUUAUGAGUGGAAGUGAAAUAACUCCAUAUUCUUCUAGAAGGGCUUCUAUCAUGGAAGACUUUACAAAAAUAUUGAAUACUUAACUGAAUUGCUUGAAAAUAAAAUAGCUUAUCAAUUAAAGAGCCGUGAUAGUGCAUUAUGAAAAAUAUUUUCAAAAAUUUCAAGGAGAAAAGGAGAUGUGUAGCUAGGCAAUUUGAUGAUUAAGAUGAAUUAAAAUAAAUUUUGAGAAACACAUAUACAUCAUCUCAUUAUUAAAGGGAACUCCAUAAAAAAUCCACUAUAACAUAAGGUUUCAAGAGUGUGGAGAAUUACUAUAGAGACUUUGAGAAUCCACUAUAACAUUAGAGAGGAUAAAGAUAUUAUAAGAGUUAGGUUUAAACUAUGAGAUUAAAGAAUGUGGAGAAUUACUAUAGAGACUUUGAGAAUCCACUAUAACAUUAGAGAGGAUAAAGAUAUUAUAAGAGUUAGGUUUAAACUAUGAGAUUAAAGAUGUUAUUGAGUUUUAUUCAUAAAUAUUAAGAAGUUUGUUCAUAUGUCAUCCACUUGUAAACAACAAUUAAAGAGAAAAAGUACUUAUAAAAGUAUUCCUCAAACAAGAAAUCAUCACAUUGAAAGGACAAACACAAGAGGCAGGAGAUUCUACACUAACAUUGGCUAAGAAAGAUAAGUUUUUUAAACUUAAAGAUCCACCCUCUAGUUCAUCUUAUCAUUUUUCAAUGAAAUGUUUGAAAUAUUUAAGAAAGGUCAAAUAAAAUCAAAUUACUAAAAAAAACAUUGAUUGAAAAAAAAAAUAGUACUUAUUAUGCCACAUAAACAGGAAAUUUAAAUAAAAUAAAAUUUAUCAAGGGAAAUAAUUAUUUUUAUUAAAUGGGAGGUUAAAAAUAUUAAAAUAGAUUGUAAAGAUAAUAAAUCUUCCUUUCUUUGCAAUUAUUGAAACUGAAAUAAUAAACCAAAGUAACAAUUUUGUAAUCAAGGGAAAUAAUUAUUUUUAUUAAAUGGGAGGUUAAAAAUAUUAAAAUAGAUUGUAAAGAUAAUAAAUCUUCCUUUCUUUGCAAUUAUUGAAACUGAAAUAAUAAACCAAAGUAACAAUUUUGUCAAGGUUAAUAUUGUAGAUUCCGAUUUUGAGUUGGUCCAGUAAAAAUUGAUUUUAGUAGGGAAGAUCACAAUUUGAUUUCCUACACUUGUAAUUAAAGAAGAGUUAGAAUUUUUUGAAGUCAAAAUUAAUCUCUAAACUGAAUUUAUUGAUCCAGUAAAUCGGAUAUUAAUGAUGGAAAAAAAUAAUAACCAUGCGACAGUUUUGUUAUGCAUUUAACAAUUUAACAGUUUGUCUCUUAAGUCAAUAUAAGUUAAUGUUAGAAAUUAUAAUAACGUAUAAGGUAUAAAAAAGUUUGUAAAGAGUAUAAUGAAUAGAAAAAUAGGUUAUAAUUUUGUUCUAUAUAAACCAUUGAAACUAGUUUAUCCAUAACAUUUCUUUUUCCUGAUUAUAUUAUUUUGAAGCCUUUUGAAAUGGCCAAGUAUUCUUUCAUAUUAAUUAUCUUUUUUAUCUUCAUUUUCUCAGAUAUAUUAUUUUUUGUCUAACCUUUUGUAUAUAUAUUCGCCUCAGUUCCUCUAUUUCAGAACUAUUAACAUUUGACUCUUUUCUUAGUCUUGUUCAGGUGACUGAUGGUGUUUACAGAUUUAAAAGGUACGAAGCACAAAGUACAUAUUUAUAUAUUUAGGUUAGCUGUGUAUGUCGGUGCUUCGCAUUUGUAUGGUUCUUGAUUUUGUUACUUUCUAUUUUUUUUAUGACAUCAUUCAUAUAUUUACAUAUUUAUAUGGUUCUUGAUUUUGUUAUUUUGUUGAUGACAUCAUUCAUAUAUUUACAUAUUUAUAUGGUUCUUGAUUUUGUUAUUUUGUUGCAUUAUCAUUAGGGUCCGAAUACAUUGAGAAGGUGAGAGUAAUGUGGAACAAGAUAAAACAAAAUAAUUUUAGGAUUAUGAUAUGUUUGUUAUAUUAGGUUUCGUUAGCAUCAGGUUCUGAAUCCUUUGGUUUAUUUCUAUUGUUGAAAUAAUAUGCAUAGGUGGAAUCUUGUUGGAAUUCAUUUUGAUUUCUUUUUAUUUGCGAACGGUAACUUAAGCGAAACUGAAUCAUGGGAAUUUUACAAAUAAUGUUCAAUUUCGUUGGUAGAACUUGUUCAACGAAUCUGAAGCACGAGUUUCUAUUAGUCCUAUUGAGACGAGCUAGUUAGAUAUGACUAGUUGACUUAAGAAAAAAGUUACUACAAUAUUUUAUAUAUGACUGGUUUUGCAUUAUUGUUUGUGUUUAUCAGAAGUGAGAGUUAUUCUUUUUCUAAACGCAGCAUACAAAAUCAGUCACAUAUGUUUUGUGAGCAUCAUACUCAAUUAAAGUGUAAAAUCCAAUUAUAGAUCUAAAUGAAGAUAAUUACAUUCACACACACGAUGGUGAGGUCUGGUUAGUAGUUAGCCUAUAUUAAAAGUCAAUAUCAUGAAUAUGAAAAGUCAUACCAACUGAUUCGUUGAUUCAUUUACUCCUUAAUAUUGAAAAAGUACUUCUAGUUAACUACAAAGAAAAUGAAAAAGUAUCAUUACAAAAACAGAAAAUUUGGUUUAGAGUUGUUCAAAGUUUCUAUUUAUUAGUACCAUAUAUUAUUAUUAUUAUUAUUAUUAUUAUUAUUAUUAUUAUUAUUAUUAUUAUUAUUAUGAAAGUAAACUGAUAUUUGUACUCAAAACAAUGAUAAAUUGUGAGUGCCCUGAUUUAGGUUAGAGAUAAUCAGGUUAGAGAUACAUUAUUAAGCGAUUUUGCACAAAUUCUGUUUUAUUUAUACAAGGGAUUUUGCUUUUGCAGAAAAUGUCAACAAAAGGAUCAUCUAAACUAAAGACUUUGUGCACACUGUGGAAAGAUUUAGAUGAACCUUUUAAAGCACGGAUUAACAAUAGAAUAGAAAAUUAUGGUGAAGGUUAUACACUGUUAAGAGUUUUAAGGUUUGUCCAAGAUAACUCAUCUGAAUUUUCAACAUCAUUGUUUGAAUUGUUCAUGAGUUAUUAUGGACUCCAAGAAAAUUAUUAUUGUUUUCAUGUUUGUGGUCAAAACAUGAACGUCACAUUGGAGGACGUUCUGUUUUUGACCAACUUACCCAUUACGGGCCGAACACUUAUAUCUGAAAGCAAUAAAGACCAUAUGGCUUUUAACAGAAUUUUUUCUUUACCUGACACUCAUAAACUUAAGUUAACAGUGUUGAAAUUUUUUUGCUACGAUAUAAAUAAAAUUGAUGAUGAUAUGAUCAAGGCCGUCAUCCUCAUGAUCGUGUCAUGUCUGAUCAUUCCAAGUGGGGAUGGACAAAAUUGCAAAACCACCUACGUCGAAUUUAUUGAAAAAUUAGACGAAGUAUACUCCUAUGCUUGGGGAGCGGCAAUAUUAUCCUAUCUAUAUCAAGGUCUGAAGGAGAAUAAUUUACGGAAUAAGAAAGUUGACGGCUUUGUAUGGCUGAUAAUGGUAAGUGCAUAUUUUUUCUUAUAUCUUUUUUCUUCUUACCUCUUUGUUUGAUAACUUUUUAACCAACUUUUUUUUCAUAGGGAUUCUUCUUUUAUCAUUUUAAAGGUCUUUAUCAAAUCCUCAAUAUUAAUGCUAUUAAUGCGGAGGAAGAUCAUAUGCCUAAUACGCCACUAUUGACAUAUUUGAUAAAAGCUCUUUUCAAACUCGGCCAAAACCGCCACACAAAACCCCAUCAUCAAUUAGGACAAAAGUUUUAGUUGAUACGUAACUUCUUGGAUAUGGAUCAUGAUGUAAGAAAUGAUUUCUAUAGCUUAUGUAGGUUGUGAUUUUGUGGGAUAAUGGUUAGUUAAUUUUUAGUUUGUUAUCUUUAUCUUUUGUUUUUUGUAUAACACAGGAUAUAGAAAAUUUUCCUAUUACUUGGCAUCCCUAUAUUGAACAAAUGUUGUCUCCCGACCUGCAACAGUCGAUGGAACUUGAUGAUAUUAACUUGACCGGUGUUGGAUCUGAUAUGGAAAUGAUUAUUUCAAAGGAAAUAAAGGCAGUAAUCCCAUCAUUUUGAGCACAUUUUUAAAAAAGAGGAGGAUAACGAUAGGCGGUUUGCACAAAACUUCCAGACUAUUGAAGCAUCCACUUCUGAGACAGCAGGUGAUAUUGAAGCAUCCACUUCCGAGACGGCAAGUGAUCACCAAUCACCAAUAUUGAGAAUAUCACUAGUGGAGGUAAAAUAUUUAAUUAUGUUAUGGUUUUAGUUAUGAAUAAUGAUAAGUAAUCAGCGGUGCAUGUUAUCUUAUGAAUAUAUAAUUACGUUUUUAAUUAAGAAAAUGUAGUUUUAUUAUUUGCCAAAUUUUAACAAUGUGAUAGAUGCAUGUGAGAUGUUGGCGGUUGAUUAUGAAGCAUAUGAGAUUACCGUACUAUCGUCGCCCCAUUGUUUUGCUACAACUAUGUGGAGCCUCAAUAUCCAAAUGUUGUAGCAAAACAGUUCGAGGAACUUGAUGAUAUUAACUUGACCGGUGUUGGAUCUGAUAUGGGAAUGAUUAUUUCAAAGGGAAAUAAAGGCAAUAAUCCAAUCAAUUUUAAAGCACAUUUUAAAAAAGAAAUGAGACAAUGGGAGGAUAUCGAUAGGCGGUUGCACAAAACUUCCAGACUAUUGAAGCAUCCACUUCUGAGACGGCAGGUGAUAUUGAAGCAUCCACUUCCGAGACGGCAAGUGAUCACCAAUCACCCAAUAUUGAGAAUAGCACUAGUGGAGGUAAAAUAUUUAAUUAUGUUAUGGUUUUAGUUGUGAAUUAUAAGUAAUCAGCGGUGCAUGUUAUCUUAUGAAUAUAUAAUUACGUUUUUAAUUAAGAAAAUGUAGUUUUUUAUUUGCCAAAUUUUAACAAUGUGAUAGAUGCAUGUGAGAUGUUGGCGGUUGAUUUUGAAGCAUAUGAGAUUACCAUAUUAUCGUCGCCCCAUUGUUUUUCUACAACUAUGUGGAGCCUCAAUUAGGGGUGUUCGCGGUUUGGUUUGGAUCGGUUUUGAGACAAAAACUCAUCCGAUCCAAAGAUACAAAGAGCAUAUGGUUUGGUUCGGUUAUUGGAUGACAAUAAAAAAAAUCCAAUCCAAUCCAAUCCAAUUUAUACGGUUUACUUCGGUUCGGUUUUAUUCGGUUUUUAAACAAACACUACUUCUAAAUCUAAAAUCAUAUUUAACUUUAACUAUUAACUAGUAUGCAUUCUAGUAAUAGUAUGUGUUUAAACAAUUGUAUUUAUUAGUAUUUAAUUGUAUUUAAAUUGUAAUAUUUAAAUAAUAUUAUUAAUUAGUGCAUGAUGUGCUGUAAAUGUGCAUUGUAUUUAAUUUGUAACGGUGCAUUGUAUUUAAUUAAUUAGAGUUAAUGAGAAUACUAUAUGAAUAAAUAUUGGUUCGGUUUGGAUUGGUUCGGUUUUCAUGCUGCCAACCGAAAACUGAACCGAACCGGUCAGUCAUUCUACAAGGUGGUCCAAACAUAUCCAAAAAAAUUCGGUUUUUUUUUGUUUUCGGUUUUUUUGGUUCGGUUUUUUUUUGGAUUGGAUUGGAUUUGAACACCCCUAGCCUCAAUACCCAAAUGUUGUAGCAAAACAGUUCGAGGAACUUGAUGAUAUUAACUUGACCGGUGUGGGAUCUGAUAUGGGAGUGAUUAUUUCAAAGGGAAAUAAAGGCAAUAAUCCCAUCAAUUUUAAAGCACAUUUUAAAAAAGAGAUGAGAUAAUGGGAGGAUAUCGAUAGGCGGUUUGCACAAAACUUCCAGACUAUUGAAUCAUCCACUUCUGAGAGGGCAGGUGAUAUUGAAGCAUCCACUUCUGAGACGGCAAAUGAUCACCAAUCACCCAAUAUUGAGAAUAGCACUAGUGGAGGUAAAAUAUUUAAUUAUGUUAUGGUUUUAGUUAUGAAUAAUGAUAAGUAAUCAGCGGUGCAUGUUAUCUUAUGAAUAUAUAAUUACGUUUUUAAUUAAGAAAAUGUAGUUUUUUAUUUGCCAAAUUUUAAUAAUGUGAUAGAUGCAUGUGAAAUGUUUGCGGUUGAUUUUGAAGCAUAUGAGAUUACCGUACUAUCGUCGCCCCAUUGUUUUGCUACAACUAUGUGGUGCCUCAAUAUCCAAAUGUUGUAGCAAAGCAGUUCGAGGAACUUGAUGAUAUUAACUUGACCGGUGUUGGAUCUGAUAUGGGAGUGAUUAUUUCAAAGGGAAAUAAAGGCAAUAAUCCCAUCAAUUUUGAAGCACAUUUUAAAAAAGAGACGAGACAAUGGGAGGAUAUCGAUAGGCGGUUUGCACAAAACUUCCAGACUAUUGAAGCAUCCACUUCUGAGACGGCAGGUGAUAUUGAAGCAUCCACUUCCGAGACGGCAAGUGAUCACCAAUCACCCAUUAGUUAUUUACAUAUUAGAAGCAUUCUGGGAUAAAAAUAUAGGUUUGUUUAAUGUAACUUCCCUCCUUAUGACGUUUUUUUAACACACAACAUAACCGCUCCACUUCUCUUCUCUCACACCCGCUUCGCUCCACUAUCUCUUCUCUCACCACAGUGCCAUACGCUUCUUCUCUUUCUUCAACACACAGUGCCACACCGCUUCUUCUCUUUGGCGUUGUCGCNGGGAAAUAAAGGCAAUAAUCCCAUCAAUUUUGAAGCACAUUUUAAAAAAGAGACGAGACAAUGGGAGGAUAUCGAUAGGCGGUUUGCACAAAACUUCCAGACUAUUGAAGCAUCCACUUCUGAGACGGCAGGUGAUAUUGAAGCAUCCACUUCCGAGACGGCAAGUGAUCACCAAUCACCCAAUAUUGAGAAUAGCACUAGUGCAGGUAAAAUAUUUAAUUAUGUUAUCGUUUUAGUUAUGAAAGUAACAGCGGGUGCAUGUUAUCUUAUGAACUAUGGAAUUACGUUUUUUUAAUUAAAGAAAAUGUGUUUUUUAUUUGCACCAGAUUUUAACGAAAUGUGAUAAGAUGCGAAUGUGAGAUCGUUGGCGGCUUGAGUUUUGAAGCAUGAUGAAUACCAUAUUAUCGUCGAUCCAAUGCGGUUAGAGAGAAUGUCAUAAGCUUAGGGUUAUGAUUAUCACCAAAGUUUGUACAACUUUGAAUUUUGGAUUUUAGAAUAAAUAGAUGAUAAUUUUUUACAUUUUUUAAUCAAUUAUUAAAUUAUAAUAUAUAUAAGAAAAAAAUCAUAUAACUAUGUUAUUACAUAUAGAACAUUCUGGGUAAAAAUAUAGUUUGUUAAUGUAACUUCCUCACUUAUGAACGUUUUUUUAACACACCAACAUACCCGCUUCCACUUCUCUUUCUCUCAACACACCGCUUCGCUUCCACUUAUCUUUCUCUCAACACAGUGCCAUACGCUUCUUCUCUUUCUUCAACACACAGUGCCACACCGCUUCUUCUCUUCUCUUUGGCUUUGUGCGCAGAUUUUGUCGAAGCUCAUCGUCCACCACCGCCGCGGGUUCCAUUUGCCACUGUUAACACCAUCAACUAAUCUCUGAUUGACAAUUGCUUUGGCGUUGGGUAGUUUUUUUUUUCUUCUUUCAUUUUGGAUUGUGAAAUAGGAUCAUAAGCAAUACCUCUGUAUUAUGAUUUUGGGGAGUUAGUUAAUUUCAAUAUCUCUCUCUUUUUUAGAUUUUGUCGAAGCUCAUCGUCCACCACCGCCGCGGGUUCCAUUUGCCACUGUUAACACCGAUCACUAAUCUCUGAUUGACAUUGCUUUGGCGUUGGGUAAGUUCUUUUUUUCUUCUUUCAUUUUUGGGGAUUGUGAAAUUAGGAUAUAAGCAAUACCUCUGUAUUAUGAUUUUGGGGAGUUAGUUAAUUUCAAUUUAGGGAUUAUCUUGUGGAUUUAGGAAUCGAGUAUGGUUAUUUUAGGUUGAGUAUUGUUCAAUGGUUACUCUUGCAAUAUGGAAUUCACCCCUGUAGACACCACUGUUAGCAUUGACCCUGACCUGUAUCAGUAAGAGUUUCUGUGUACAAAAAAAUAGGGUCUUUCGUAUCCAAUCUCAAGGUGUACUUUCAUUGGAUUCGAUUGAAAAUAGUGUGGUGACUGAUAUUAUGCAAACUUUGUCAACUUUUUCAUCCAUGUCACCGGCGUCUCUGGCAUGCGCUCCGCCGUCACUCAAGAGGCUGAACUUUAACUUUCUCUUACCAACCGCUUCAUAUGUGUCCACUUUGUCUCUUCGGCAUGCCAAUAUAGAGCUUAUUAUUGUUACUCAUUCAUCGACACCUCCGAACCUUGGUCUAAUCUCAGUUGUGCUUCCACAGUUUGAGACUCAAGGAGUUGUUAUUUUGGUUAAUGUCGAUACAGAUGGAACUGUCUUAGUUAGCCAUGAUGGUAUGGAAAUGUGGCAAGGUUUACAGACGAAAGUUGCACAAAUUGCGGCAUCAACUUUCAAUAUCCUCCUUAAUUUUGUCUUCAUAUCAGAUACAAGUACAGAUAAGGUUCCUAAUUCUUCUCCAUUAACACCUUCUGCAAGUUCUGACAUGUAUGGAGCAGUGGUUUUAGAUGCAUGUGAGCAAAUAUCCGUACACAUGGAACCUAUUUCUUCCCAACAUAAAUUCAAGACUUUUACUGAGCUAGUUAAUGUGUGCUAUGUAGAGCGAAUAGAUCUUGCUGUCUGUGGAUUUUGUAUUGCACAGUUUUAGAAAUAAUACACUAUUUUCAUAUUUGUGCAUUUUUAUCCAUUUCUUAUAUAUUUUGUAAGUUGCGGUUUUUUCGGGUUCGCAUCAGUUUGAUUGGUGUUAAAUUAAUAUUAUAUGUGACUAUAUGAAUGCAGGAAAUGGCAACAAAAGCAAAAGGAAGUUCAAAACUGCCAACUUUGUGCGAUUUGUGGUCAAAAUUAGAUGAAGACUUUAAAGCCUUAAUUAACAACAGAAUUGAUAAUAAUGGUGAUGGUAGUUCUUUGUUGAGACUUAUCCCCAAUAGACGUGUGGAAAUUUCAACAUAUUUGCUGCAAGAGUUCAUGACACUUUAUGAACAUAGAGAAAAUGAUUUUUAUUUUCAGGUCUGUGGUCAACAACGCAUGAACGUCACAUUGGAGGACGUUUUAUUUUUGACCCAUUUGCCUAUUAUAGGCCGACCAAUUGUCCCCAUUGACAAUAGAGAUCGAGAUGCUUUCAAUCGACUUUUUUCAGAAAAUUCAUCUCUACUUUCCCUAGUCACGUUGAGAAAUAUUUGUUGUGAUACAAAUAGAAAUGAUGAUGAGAGGAUCAAGGCUGUCCUUCUCAUGAUUGUGACAUGCCUGAUUGCUCCAAAUGGGAAUGGACAAAAUUGCAAGACUUCUUACGUCCAAUUUAUCGAAAAAUUGGACGAAGUUAACUCCUAUGCUUGGGGAGCUGCAAUGUUAGCAUACUUGUAUCAAGGUAUGAAGGGAUGGAAGACCGAUGAUAAGGCAAUUGACGGCUUCACCUGGCUUAUAAUGGUAAGAGCAUUUUUUUCUUAUCAUUUUUUUUUCCUUAUCUCUUUUUUUGAUAAUUUUUUCACCAACUUUUUUUUUUCAUAGGGCUUCUUCUUUUCUCAUUUUAGAGGUCUUUAUUCGAUCUUCAAUAAUGCUGUGGAGGAAAAUCAGGCUCAUGAUAAGCCAAAACUGGCAUAUUUGAUAGAGUCACUUGAGAAAACCGGCAAAAUCCACCCAAAGAAGGCCAACAUCCCAUUACAAUUGAAGGUCAACAUAACAUUUUAAGUAGACAACUUAAUCUUUCCAAUUCAUUUAAUAUCACCUCAAAAUCAUGAAAAAUGAAGGAGCUAUGUCCUUGGGAAGUUGACCCAAAAUUAGGGUUUUAGUCAAAAUGACCUAUAAUGUUUUGAAAUGGAUGAUGACCUUCCAAGCUUCAAAUAAAUUUUUUAUGAACAUGAAAGUUGUUCAUAAGAUUCUUAAGAACAUUGUUUCUCUUGGGGUUAUCUCCAUUUGACAAACACAUUAAAAGUUAGGUCUCAGUGUACUUCAAAAUAGUCAUAUGAAUUGACUGAUCAACUUCUCAAGUCUACACCUCAUAUCUUGAUGAAUUGAUGAUUGAGGAUACUCAAAUAAGUUCAAAUAUGCAUGAAAUGAUGAUUUAAAGAACUUCCCUUGAUUGCAUUUGAUCAUAGGUUGAGGUUGCUUCAUGAGCAACGCAUAGUUGAUGAACAGAUAAAUUACGGCUUCCUUGGGAAACAAACCUCAAACCCUUUGGUUUGCUUUGAUCAAAAUUAUGAAUUGAGAUACUUGGGAGGCAUAUUUGAUGUAUGAGAGCUUUGGGAACCAUUGACAUGCUUGCUUUCAUCUUCCCUUGACUAUAUCAGUGCACCUAGGAUCUCCUAGAAGUUUUGGAUCUUGUGACUGCUCAAGCUACAAACAAAAGAUGUUAGUGACAUAUUUUUGUGUUUUUGGUUAGUGAAUAAAAUGAGAGAAGCAAUAAUAUACAAUUCAAGUAUGCUUGGUGAUCUCAAACCAAUUCUCAAAAGUUCCCACCCCAAAGGUAAGAAGCCAAGAUGCUUAUGAUCCUUGAGGCAAAAUGCAAAUGCAAUGAUAUGAUGCCAUGAGGGAUCUUAGGGUCAAAAUUGGGAUCUUACAAUUAUUAUUAUUAUUAUAUUGUUUGUGUUCUUUGUUAUAUGAUUGUGGUCCUUUUUGAAUUUUUUGUUAUUGUUGAAAUUAUGAGUGGAAGUGAAAUAACUCCAUAUUCUUCUAGAAGGGCUNUGAAAUUUAAAAAAAUAAAAAGGAAAUUAAACAGAUGACCAUGAAAUUUAAAAAAAUAAAAAGGAAAUUAAAUAUACCUUUCUCUUCCUUUGUCUUUUAUGUCUUUUAGCCAUAGCAUUGACGUGAUUAAUGGAAUGCGUAAAUCUCUCGAUUCCCACCCCCCUAUUUUCUCUUUUUGUAGUUUUAAGCUGUAGUGGAGGAGUCGCCAUGCCACGUCUACGGCGUACCUGAAUCACCACAUUCUGCCCCGCAUUCUCUACAUUCUGCCCCGCAUUCCCCACAUUCUGCCCCGCAUUCCCCGCAUUCCCCGCAUUCUCCCCCGCAUUUUCAUCUAUAUCACCCAACUGCCUCGCAUUUGUUUCCCCGGCUGCAUAUAUCACAUUAUUUAAACCCGGCAAAUCAAGAAUAUUUUCAUAAUUAAGAAUGUAACUAAAAACAUAACAUAGUUAAAUAUUUUACCUUCACUAGUGCCAACCUCUGAUGACCUUUGUGCAUGGUAUGGUGAUGGACAAGACAUAUCAAGGGAUGAUGGUGGAGAAAAAUGCACAUCAGCGUCGGAGAGAUGCCCUUGGGAAUUGGCUGUAUGCAGGGGAGUGUGAUUUUGUUGAGCAGCUUCUGGCUCGGAAAUGGAUUGUUGAGCAGCUUCUGGCUCGGAAAUGGAUUGUUGAGCAGUGUGGUAGUUUUCUGAUGAAAUUUAAAAAAAUAAAAAGGAAAUUAAACAGAUGACCAUGAAAUUUAAAAAAAUAAAAAGGAAAUUAAAUAUACCUUUCUCUUCCUUUGUCUUUUAUGUCUUUUAGCCAUAGCAUUGACGUGAUCAAUGGAAUGCGUAAAUCUCUCGAUUGCCACCCCCCUAUUUUCUCUUUUUGUAGUUUUAAGCUGUAGUGGAGGAGUCGCCAUGCCACGUCUACGGCGUACCUGAAUCACCACAUUCUGCCCCGCAUUCCCCGCAUUCUCCACAUUCUGCCCCGCGUUCCCCACAUUCUGCCCCGCAUUCCCUGCAUUCCCCGCAUUCUCCCCCGCAUUUUCAUCUAUAUCACCCAACUGCCUCGCAUUUGUUUCCCCGACUGCAUAUAUCACAUUAUUUAAACCCGGCAAAUCAAGAAUAUUUUCAUAAUUAAGAAUGUAACUAAAAACAUAACAUAGUUAAAUAUUUUACCUUCACUAGUGCCAACCUCUGAUGACCUUUGUGCAUGGUAUGGUGAUGGAGAAGACAUAUCAAGGGAUGAUGGUGGAGAAAAAUGCACAUCAGCGUCGGAUAGAUGCCCUUGGGAAUUGGCUGUAUGCAGGGGAGUGUGAUUUUGUUGAGCAGCUUCUGGCUCGGAAAUGGAUUGUUGAGCAGCUUCUGGCUCGGAAAUGGAUUGUUGAGCAGUGUGGUAGUUUUCUGCUAACCGACUACCAAAUUGCCUCCACUGUAUCACCUCUUUAUUAUAAUAUGCUCGGAAAUUGAUUGACUUAUCUCCACUAUUUGCUUUGAAUUUUAUCGUUUCCAGAUCAGAUCCAACAUCUUGUAAAUCAACAUCAUUAAGGACCUCAAAUUGUUUUGCUACAACAUGUGGACGAUGAUGCUCCACAUAGUUGUAGCAAAAUAGAGGGGCGACGACAGUACGAUACUGGAUCUGAUCAUGUAGGUGGGGGGCAACGUGUCUAAAUUGUAUGGAUGCCAUGUAAUUGGUCUCACAUCUGCUUCGAUAUUCUAUGUUAUACAAAAAAAAGAUAAAGAUUAAAAAAUAAAGAUACAAUUAGUAUUAUAUAAUAAUGGUUUGUAAAAUUCUUACCUCCUCCGUUCUCAGGAGGUCAUGUACCAAAUUCAACUUCAAUUGUAAUGGGAUGUUGGCCUUCUUUGGGUGGAUUUUGCCGGUUUUCUCAAGUGACUCUAUCAAAUAUGCCAGUUUUGGCUUAUCAUGAGCCUGAUUUUCCUCCACAGCAUUAUUGAAGAUCGAAUAAAGACCUCUAAAAUGAGAAAAGAAGAAGCCCUAUGAAAAAAAAAAGUUGGUGAAAAAAUUAUCAAAAAAAGAGAUAAGGAAAAAAAAAUGAUAAGAAAAAAAUGCUCUUACCAUUAUAAGCCAGGUGAAGCCGUCAAUUGCCUUAUCAUCGGUCUUCCAUCCCUUCAUACCUUGAUACAAGUAUGCUAACAUUGCAGCUCCCCAAGCAUAGGAGUUAACUUCGUCCAAUUUUUCGAUAAAUUGGACGUAAGAAGUCUUGCAAUUUUGUCCAUUCCCAUUUGGAGCAAUCAGGCAUGUCACAAUCAUGAGAAGGACAGCCUUGAUCCUCUCAUCAUCAUUUCUAUUUGUAUCACAACAAAUAUUUCUCAACGUGACUAGGGAAAGUAGAGAUGAAUUUUCUGAAAAAAGUCGAUUGAAAGCAUCUCGAUCUCUAUUGUCAAUGGGGACAAUUGGUCGGCCUAUAAUAGGCAAAUGGGUCAAAAAUAAAACGUCCUCCAAUGUGACGUUCAUGCGUUGUUGACCACAGACCUGAAAAUAAAAAUCAUUUUCUCUAUGUUCAUAAAGUGUCAUGAACUCUUGCAGCAAAUAUGUUGAAAUUUCCACACGUCUAUUGGGGAUAAGUCUCAACAAAGAACUACCAUCACCAUUAUUAUCAAUUCUGUUGUUAAUUAAGGCUUUAAAGUCUUCAUCUAAUUUUGACCACAAAUCGCACAAAGUUGGCAGUUUUGAACUUCCUUUUGCUUUUGUUGCCAUUUCCUGCAUUCAUAUAGUCACAUAUAAUAUUAAUUUAACACCAAUCAAACUGAUGCGAACCCGAAAAAACCGCAACUUACAAAAUAUAUAAGAAAUGGAUAAAAAUGCACAAAUAUGAAAAUAGUGUAUUAUUUCUAAAACUGUGCAAUACAAAAUCCACAGACAGCAAGAUCUAUUCGCUCUACAUAGCACACAUUAACUAGCUCAGUAAAAGUCUUGAAUUUAUGUUGGGAAGAAAUAGGUUCCAUGUGUACGGAUAUUUGCUCACAUGCAUCUAAAACCACUGCUCCAUACAUGUCAGAACUUGCAGAAGGUGUUAAUGGAGAAGAAUUAGGAACCUUAUCUGUACUUGUAUCUGAUAUGAAGACAAAAUUAAGGAGGAUAUUGAAAGUUGAUGCCGCAAUUUGUGCAACUUUCGUCUGUAAACCUUGCCACAUUUCCAUACCAUCAUGGCUAACUAAGACAGUUCCAUCUGUAUCGACAUUAACCAAAAUAACAACUCCUUGAGUCUCAAACUGUGGAAGCACAACUGAGAUUAGACCAAGGUUCGGAGGUGUCGAUGAAUGAGUAACAAUAAUAAGCUCUAUAUUGGCAUGCCGAAGAGACAAAGUGGACACAUAUGAAGCGGUUGGUAAGAGAAAGUUAAAGUUCAGCCUCUUGAGUGACGGCGGAGCGCAUGCCAGAGACGCCGGUGACAUGGAUGAAAAAGUUGACAAAGUUUGCAUAAUAUCAGUCACCACACUAUUUUCAAUCGAAUCCAAUGAAAGUACACCUUGAGAUUGGAUACGAAAGACCCUAUUUUUUUGAACACAGAAACUCUUACUGAUACAGGUCAGGGUCAAUGCUAACAGUGGUGUCUACAUGGGUGAAUUCCAUAUUGCAAGAGUAACCAUUGAACAAUACUCAACCUAAAAUAACCAUACUCGAUUCCUAAAUCCACAAGAGAAUCCCUAAAUUGAAAUUAACUAACUCCCCAAAAUCAUAAUACAGAGGUAUUGCUUAUAUCCUAAUUUCACAAUCCCCAAAAAUGAAAGAAGAAAAAAAGAACUUACCCAACGCCAAAGCAAUGUCAAUCAGAGAUUAGUGAUCGGUGUUAACAGUGGCAAAUGGAACCCGCGGCGGUGGUGGACGAUGAGCUUCGACAAAAUCUGCGAACAAAGCCAAAGAAAGAGAAGAAGCGGUGUGGCACUGUGUGUUGAGAGAAAGAGAAGAAGCGUAUGGCACUGUGUGUUGAGAGAAAGAGAAGUGGAAGCGGAAGCGGUGUGUUGAGAGAAAGAGAAGUGGAAGCGGUAUGUUGUGUGUUAAAAAAACGUUCAUAAGUGGAGGGAAGUUACAUUAACAAACCUAUAUUUUUUACCCAGAAUGCUUCUAAUAUGUAAAUAACAUAGUUAUAAUGAAUUUUUUUCUUAUUAUAUUUAUAAUUAAUAAUUGAUUAAAAAAUGGUUAAAAAAUAUCUAUCUAUUUAUUCUAAAUCCAAAAUUCAAAGUUGUACAAACUUUGGUGAUAAUCAUAACCCUAAUGCUUAUGUGACAUUCUCUCUAACCGCCAAUGGGACGACGAUAAUAUGGUAAUCUCAUAUGCUUCAAAAUCAACCGCCAACAUCUCACAUGCAUCUAUCACAUUGUUAAAAUUUGGCAAAUAAAAAACUACAUUUUCUUAAUUAAAAACGUAAUUAUAUAUUCAUAAGAUAACAUGCACCGCUGAUUACUUUUCAUAACUAAAACCAUAACAUAAUUAAAUAUUUUACCUGCACUAGUGCUAUUCUCAAUAUUGGGUGAUUGGUGAUCACUUGCCGUCUCGGAAGUGGAUGCUUCAAUAUCACCUGCCGUCUCAGAAGUGGAUGCUUCAAUAGUCUGGAAGUUUUGUGCAAACCGCCUAUCGAUAUCCUCCCAUUGUCUCGUCUCUUUUUUAAAAUGUGCUUCAAAAUUGAUGGGAUUAUUGCCUUUAUUUCCCUUUGAAAUAAUCACUCCCAUAUCAGAUCCAACACCGGUCAAGUUAAUAUCAUCAAGUUCCUCGAACUGCUUUGCUACAACAUUUGGAUAUUGAGGCACCACAUAGUUGUAGCAAAACAAUGGGGCGACGAUAGUACGGUAAUCUCAUAUGCUUCAAAAUCAACCGCAAACAUUUCACAUGCAUCUAUCACAUUAUUAAAAUUUGGCAAAUAAAAAACUACAUUUUCUUAAUUAAAAACGUAAUUAUAUAUUCAUAAGAUAACAUGCACCGCUGAUUACUUAUCAUUAUUCAUAACUAAAACCAUAACAUAAUUAAAUAUUUUACCUCCACUAGUGCUAUUCUCAAUAUUGGGUGAUUGGUGAUCAUUUGCCGUCUCAGAAGUGGAUGCUUCAAUAUCACCUGCCCUCUCAGAAGUGGAUGAUUCAAUAGUCUGGAAGUUUUGUGCAAACCGCCUAUCGAUAUCCUCCCAUUAUCUCAUCUCUUUUUUAAAAUGUGCUUUAAAAUUGAUGGGAUUAUUGCCUUUAUUUCCCUUUGAAAUAAUCACUCCCAUAUNNNNNNNNNNNNNNNNNNNNNNNNNNNNNNNNNNNNNNNNNNNNNNNNNNNNNNNNNNNNNNNNNNNNNNNNNNNNNNNNNNNNNNNNNNNNNNNNNNNNNNNNNNNNNNNNNNNNNNNNNNNNNNNNNNNNNNNNNNNNNNNNNNNNNNNNNNNNNNNNNNNNNNNNNNNNNNNNNNNNNNNNNNNNNNNNNNNNNNNNNNNNNNNNNNNNNNNNNNNNNNNNNNNNNNNNNNNNNNNNNNNNNNNNNNNNNNNNNNNNNNNNNNNNNNNNNNNNNNNNNNNNNNNNNNNNNNNNNNNNNNNNNNNNNNNNNNNNNNNNNNNNNNNNNNNNNNNNNNNNNNNNNNNNNNNNNNNNNNNNNNNNNNNNNNNNNNNNNNNNNNNNNNNNNNNNNNNNNNNNNNNNNNNNNNNNNNNNNNNNNNNNNNNNNNNNNNNNNNNNNNNNNNNNNNNNNNNNNNNNNNNNNNNNNNNNNNNNNNNNNNNNNNNNNNNNNNNNNNNNNNNNNNNNNNNNNNNNNNNNNNNNNNNNNNNNNNNNNNNNNNNNNNNNNNNNNNNNNNNNNNNNNNNNNNNNNNNNNNNNNNNNNNNNNNNNNNNNNNNNNNNNNNNNNNNNNNNNNNNNNNNNNNNNNNNNNNNNNNNNNNNNNNNNNNNNNNNNNNNNNNNNNNNNNNNNNNNNNNNNNNNNNNNNNNNNNNNNNNNNNNNNNNNNNNNNNNNNNNNNNNNNNNNNNNNNNNNNNNNNNNNNNNNNNNNNNNNNNNNNNNNNNNNNNNNNNNNNNNNNNNNNNNNNNNNNNNNNNNNNNNNNNNNNNNNNNNNNNNNNNNNNNNNNNNNNNNNNNNNNNNNNNNNNNNNNNNNNNNNNNNNNNNNNNNNNNNNNNNNNNNNNNNNNNNNNNNNNNNNNNNNNNNNNNNNNNNNNNNNNNNNNNNNNNNNNNNNNNNNNNNNNNNNNNNNNNNNNNNNNNNNNNNNNNNNNNNNNNNNNNNNNNNNNNNNNNNNNNNNNNNNNNNNNNNNNNNNNNNNNNNNNNNNNNNNNNNNNNNNNNNNNNNNNNNNNNNNNNNNNNNNNNNNNNNNNNNNNNNNNNNNNNNNNNNNNNNNNNNNNNNNNNNNNNNNNNNNNNNNNNNNNNNNNNNNNNNNNNNNNNNNNNNNNNNNNNNNNNNNNNNNNNNNNNNNNNNNNNNNNNNNNNNNNNNNNNNNNNNNNNNNNNNNNNNNNNNNNNNNNNNNNNNNNNNNNNNNNNNNNNNNNNNNNNNNNNNNNNNNNNNNNNNNNNNNNNNNNNNNNNNNNNNNNNNNNNNNNNNNNNNNNNNNNNNNNNNNNNNNNNNNNNNNNNNNNNNNNNNNNNNNNNNNNNNNNNNNNNNNNNNNNNNNNNNNNNNNNNNNNNNNNNNNNNNNNNNNNNNNNNNNNNNNNNNNNNNNNNNNNNNNNNNNNNAAAAAAAAGAUAAAGAUUAAAAAAUAAAGAUACAAUUAGUAUUAUAUAAUAAUGGUUUGUAAAAUUCUUACCUCCUCCGUUCUCAGGAGGUCAUGUACCAAAUUCAACUUCAAUUGUAAUGGGAUGUUGGCCUUCUUUGGGUGGAUUUUGCCGGUUUUCUCAAGUGACUCUAUCAAAUAUGCCAGUUUUGGCUUAUCAUGAGCCUGAUUUUCCUCCACAGCAUUAUUGAAGAUCGAAUAAAGACCUCUAAAAUGAGAAAAGAAGAAGCCCUAUGAAAAAAAAAAGUUGGUGAAAAAAUUAUCAAAAAAAGAGAUAAGGAAAAAAAAAUGAUAAGAAAAAAAUGCUCUUACCAUUAUAAGCCAGGUGAAGCCGUCAAUUGCCUUAUCAUCGGUCUUCCAUCCCUUCAUACCUUGAUACAAGUAUGCUAACAUUGCAGCUCCCCAAGCAUAGGAGUUAACUUCGUCCAAUUUUUCGAUAAAUUGGACGUAAGAAGUCUUGCAAUUUUGUCCAUUCCCAUUUGGAGCAAUCAGGCAUGUCACAAUCAUGAGAAGGACAGCCUUGAUCCUCUCAUCAUCAUUUCUAUUUGUAUCACAACAAAUAUUUCUCAACGUGACUAGGGAAAGUAGAGAUGAAUUUUCUGAAAAAAGUCGAUUGAAAGCAUCUCGAUCUCUAUUGUCAAUGGGGACAAUUGGUCGGCCUAUAAUAGGCAAAUGGGUCAAAAAUAAAACGUCCUCCAAUGUGACGUUCAUGCGUUGUUGACCACAGACCUGAAAAUAAAAAUCAUUUUCUCUAUGUUCAUAAAGUGUCAUGAACUCUUGCAGCAAAUAUGUUGAAAUUUCCACACGUCUAUUGGGGAUAAGUCUCAACAAAGAACUACCAUCACCAUUAUUAUCAAUUCUGUUGUUAAUUAAGGCUUUAAAGUCUUCAUCUAAUUUUGACCACAAAUCGCACAAAGUUGGCAGUUUUGAACUUCCUUUUGCCUUUGUUGCCAUUUCCUGCAUUCAUAUAGACAUAUAAUAUUAAUUUACCCAAUCAAACUAAAAAAUGAUGGAACCCGAAAACCGCAACUUACAAAUAUAUAGAAUGGAUAAAAUGCACAAUAUGAAAUAGUGUUUAUUUCUAAAAUUGUGCAAUACAAAAUCCACGCAGCAAAGAUCUUAUCGCUCUACAUAGCACCUUAACUAGCUCAGUAAAAGUCAUUGAUUUAUGUUGGAAGAAAUAGGUUCCAUGUACGGAUAUUCUGUCACCUGCCAUCUAAAACCACUGCUCCUACAUGUCAGACUUGUAGAAGUGUUAAUGUGAGAGAAUUAGGACUAUCUGUACUUGUAUCUUUGAUAUGAAGACAAAAUUUAAGGGGAUAUGAAGUGAUGCGCAUGUUUUGCACUUUCGUCUGUAAACCUUUGCCACAUUUCCAUAACCAUCAAUGGGCCCUAACAAGACAGUCCAUCUGUAUCGUCAUUACACCAAAAUAACAACUCCUUGAGUCUCAAACUGUGGAAGCACAACUGAGAUUAGACCAAGGUUCGGAGGUGUCGAUGAAUGAGUAACAAUAAUAAGCUCUAUAUUGGCAUGCCGAAGAGACAAAGUGGACACAUAUGAAGCGGUUGGUAAGAGAAAGUUAAAGUUCAGCCUCUUGAGUGGCGGCGGAGCGCAUGCCAGAGACGCCGGUGACAUGGAUGAAAAAGUUGACAAAGUUUGCAUAAUAUCAGUCACCACACUAUUUUCAAUCGAAUCCAAUGAAAGUACACCUUGAGAUUGGAUACGAAAGACCCUAUUUUUUUGAACACAGAAACUCUUACUGAUACAGGUCAGGGUCAAUGCUAACAGUGGUGUCUACAUGGGUGAAUUCCAUAUUGCAAGAGUAACCAUUGAACAAUACUCAACCUAAAAUAACCAUACUCGAUUCCUAAAUCCACAAGAGAAUCCCUAAAUUGAAAUUAACUAACUCCCCAAAAUCAUAAUACAGAGGUAUUGCUUAUAUCCUAAUUUCACAAUCCCAAAAAAUGAAAGAAGAAAAAAAGAACUUACCCAACGCCAAAGCAAUGUCAAUCAGAGAUUAGUGAUCGGUGUUAACAGUGGCAAAUGGAACCCGCGGCGGUGGUGGACGAUGAGCUUCGACAAAAUCUCGCGAACAAAGCCAAAGAAGAGAAGAGCGGUGUGGCACUGUGUGUUGAGAGAAAGAGAAGAAGCGUAUGGCACUGUUCUGGUGAAGAAAGAGAAGUGGAAGCGGAAGCGGUGUGUUGAGAGAAAGAGAAGUGGAAGCGGUAUGUUGUGUGUUAAAAAACGUUCAUAAGGGGAGGAGUUACAUUAACAACCUAUAUUUUUACAGAAUGUUCUAAAUGUAAAUACAUAGUUAUAUGAAUUUUUUCUUAUUAUAUUUAUAAUUAAUAAUUGAUUAAAAAAUGGUUAAAAAUAUCUAUCUAUUUAUUCUAAAUCCAAAUUCAAAGUUGUACAAACUUUGGUGAUAAUCAUAACCCUAAUGCUUAUGUGACAUUCUCUCUAACCGCAAUGGCGACGACGAUAAUAUCCGCUAAUCUCAUAUGCUUCAAAAUUCCAACCAGCCAACAUCUCCCAUGCUCUAUCACAUUGUUAAAAUUUGGCAAAUAAAAAACUACAUUCUUAUUAAAACUAUUAUAAUUUAUACGAUAACAUGCACGCUUGAUACUUUUCAUAACUAACCAUAACAUAAUUAAAAUUUUUAUCUGCCACUAGUGCUAUUCUCAAUAUUGGGUGAUUGGUGAUCACUUGCCGUCUCGGAGUGGGAUGCUUCAAUAUCACCUGCCGUCUGAGUGGGAUGCUUCAAUAGUCUGGAAGUUUUGUGCAAACCGCUAUGAUAUCCUCCCAUCUGUCUCGUUCUUUUUAAAAUUGCUCAUCAAAAAUUGAUGGAAUUUAUUCUUAUUCACCUUUGAAAUAAACACCUCUCCUAUCAGAUCCACAACCCGGUCAAGUUAAUAUCAUCAAGUUCCUCGACUGCUUUGCUACAACAUUUGGAUUUGACGGCACCACAUAGUUGUAGCAAAACAAUGGCACCAGCGCNNNNNNNNNNNNNNNNNNNNNNNNNAUUCCACGACAGCAGAUCUUUCGCUCUCAUAGCCAUACUAGCUCAGUAAAAGUCUUGAAUUUAUGUUGGGAAUAGGUUCCUGUGUACGGAUAUUGCUCACAUGCAUCUAAAACCACUGCUCUACAUGUCAGACUUUGAAGGUGUUAAUGAGAGAAUUAGGAACCUUAUCUGUACUUGUAUCUGAUAUGAAGCAAAAUUAGGGGAUAUUGAAGUUGAUGCCGCAUUUGUGCAACUUUCGUCUGUAAACCUUGCCACAUUUCCAUACCUCAUGGCUAACUAGACAGUUCUUGUAUCGACAUCCAAAUAACAACUCCUGUGGUCUAAACUGUGGAAGCACAACUGAGAUUAGACCAAGGUUCGGAGGUGUCGAUGAAUGAGUACACAUAAUAAGCUCUAUAUUGGAUGCCGAAGAGACAAAGUGACACAUAUGAAGCGGUUGGUAAGAGAAAGUUAAAGUUCAGCUCUUGAGUGGCGGCGGAGCGCAUGCAGAGACGCCGGUGGACAUGAUGAAUGAAAGUUGACAAGUUUGCAUAUAUCAGCACCACACUAUUUUCAAUCGAAUCCAUGAAAGUCACCUUGAGAUUGGAUACGAAAGACCUAUUUUUUUGACACAGAAACUCUUACUGAUACAGGUCAGGGUCAAUGCAACAGUGGUGUCACUGGGUGAUCCAUAUUGAACAUUGACAAUACUAACUAAAUACCAUACUCGAUCCUAAUCCAAGAGAAUCCCUAAAUUGAAUUAACUAACUCCCAAUAUCUACAGAUAUGCUUAUAUCCUUUUCACAAUCCCAAAAAUGAAGAAGAAAAAAGACUUACCCAACGCCAAAGCAUGUCAAUCAGAGUUAGUGAUCGGUGUUAACAGUGCAAAUGGACCGCGGCGUGGUGGACGAUGAGCUUCGACAAAUCUGCGAACAAGCCAAAGAAAGAGAGAGCGGUGUGGCACUGUGUGUUGAGAGAAGAGAAGAAGCGUAUGGCACUGUGUGUGAGAGAAAGAGAAGUGGAAGCGGAAGCGGUGUGUUGAGGAAAGAGAGUGGAAGCGGUAUGUUGUGUGUUAAAAAACGUUCAUAGUGAGGGAAGUUACAUUAACAACCUAUAUUUUUUCCAGAAUGCUUCUAAUAUGUAAAUACAUAGUUAUAAUGAAUUUUUUCUUUAUUUAUAAUUAAUAUUGAUUAAAUGGUUAUAUCUAUCUAUUAUUCUAUCCAAAUUCAAAGUUGUACAACUUUGGUGAUAAUCAUAACCUAAUGCUUAUGUGCAUUCUCUCUACACCUUUUUAUUUCAAAUAACUUUUCUAUAUAUUCAACUAAUAUAUAUAAUAGAAUAUCCAAUCAAUAUUAUAAUAAUUAUAGAUAUAUAUAAUAUUCAAUCAAUAUUAAGAUUAAUAAUAAUAAACAAUUAUAUAACAUCUACUUUUAUUAUCUAAUAGCACUUUCUUAGAUAUUCAACUAAUAUAAUAUAAUAUAUAUAUUAAUCAAUAUAUAUAUAUAAUUUCCCCAUAUUAUUAUAUAUAUUAUUAUAUUAUAUUUAUAUAAUUAUAAUUAUUAUAUAUAUAUAUAUAUUAAAAUUUGAAAAUUGAAAGUGAAUAUAACCGUUUGUUACAAGACAAUUAGAGUAAUUAAUUUUAAAUUAGAAUUAAAAAUGAAAUUCAUUUUAGACAUUUUCUUCUUUCAAAUGGUUUUUUUUAACAAUCCUACUUUUCAAUAUAGCAAUUAUUGCUAUUUUUUUAAUUAUACCCUUCAAUUAUUAGUCUGUGCGAUUAUACCCUUCAUAAUCGCACGGCUGAGGGGGUCGUGAUGCUCGUCAUCGUCGCUGUGGUCGGACAGUGGUGAUGUGGAGCGAUGGUGGGGUUCGCCUCUUGUCUUCUUGUGGGAUGGGGAACCGCGGUUUUUGCGAGGGGGAGUAUGACCCCUCUUUUUGUCGACCGUUCUUUGUCUCUGAGGUAGAGACGAGGAACGGGUCUUCUCCAAGGCUUCAAUGCGCUGGGCUUGUUGUAAGAGGAGAGUAUUCGUAUGGUUGAGAGCGGAGAGGACGACGACCAAUGCGGGAUCUGCAUUGGUCGACAAGGAUGCUGAAAGUUGAGGGACGACGGGCUCGUCCGUGGGGUUCUGGUUAAGUUGGUUCUCCAAAAGAGGAUCUUGAUGACCAGCGUCUUCGGAAUCAGGUGAGGCGGUUCGACCGUCUUUUCGGUCGAGCAAAUCUUGAAGUACGGGUGAGAUAUCUAGUCGGGUUUGUUGGCAGGAGAAGAAAAGUUGUUGUUGCCAGAAGGGAGAUUUGUGACACCCUUAAAUUUAUUAAUUAUUAGUAUUUAUUAUUAUUAUUAUUUUAUAAUAAUAUUGUGUGUCCUUUAAUUUAUUAUGUGUUUUGUGUGUUAAUUGGAAUUAUUUGAAUAUGAGUAUUAUUUAAAUAAUUGGAUUUUAUGAGUAUUAUUGUGUUUAUUUGUUAUUGGGCCUAAGUGGUAGUAAUAAGUAAAUGGGGAGUGUUAAUUACUAAGCCCAAUAAGAAUAGAAUUAGUAAGGGUUAAUGUAAGAAUUAUAGUUAGUAUUGUUAUUUUGGAGAAAGAGAGAAGAAUAGAGAGAAGAGAAGAGAAAAGGAAGAAGAAGAAGAGGCAACCCUAAUUCCAUUUCUUCAAGAGGUAAGGGGGAGAAUCUUCAUUAUUGUUCAAUUACAUGUUGUUAGGUAAUGAUUAGAGUAAUGGUAGAUGUUUGGGUAUUCAUGAAAUUGAGUUUUCAACUCACAAUGUUAGGGUUUUGAUUUGGGAAUUUGAUGAAUUGACUAGAUUUAGUGAUAUGUAUAGGUUCCCUAUGUUAGAUACAUGUUAAAGGAUGUAUUUGUGUUGUUAAAUCACUGCUGGAACAUGUUUUGGAUGGUGGGAAUCGGACUGGUGUAGUGCUGUUGCGCUUUGGCAGAGUUGCUGUCUGCGCAAGGGCGUUGAGCGCACGGGGUGCCGCUCAGCGCGAUGUGCUGUAUGCAGAAAAAUAUUUUCUUUAAUUAGGGAGUUAUGCUUUGGGGGUUUGAUACAUAUUGAUUUAUCAUUAAUUUACAUGAGUUUAGAUGUAUGAAUUGAUGAGCUUUGGAUCAUGUUUGAAUCGAUUUUCAUUGAUAAUGUGAAACUUGAGUUUUGAAGAAUAUGUUAUGUUUUUAGUUGAAUCUCAUAAUGUAAACUUGUUGGCUUGGUUUCUAUACAUGAUUCGUGAUAUAUGUUGGUAACCUAAGCUAUGUGUGAUGAUUAAUUCAUGGAUUACAUGCUAAUUGUGAAUUUGAUGUAUAUUAUGCCAUGAAUGGAUUUUGGUGAGGUAGUUAUGCUAAGUUGUUUCUAAUGCUUGUGAGUCACAUGAGUCUUUUAUGAUUGUGAGUCUUGAUUUUAUGCUUUGUGCUAAUUGUUACAUGUACGUGAACUAUUUGAAUUGAUGAUGUAUAUACUAAAUAUCCUAAUCGUGUACAUGCUUUAUAUGAAUGGAAAGUGAAGAAUAUGCUAUGUGAAUGUAUACUUGGAAGUGUGUUGAAUUCAUAAUUGUUGUAUGUGCUAUUCUUUAUUAUUACUUGAAUGACAUAUAAUUGUUUAAUGAUGUGAAUUCUCACCCUUCUGCUUAGAUGUUGCCUUUACAUGGGUAACGUGCAGGUUCAGAGGAUAGUGGUGCUCCGCACGAGGCUAGUGAGGAGUAGUCUUAGAUCUAUUUCCUAUCCUUAGGUAGUUGAUCAUUUGCUCUAAUCAUGUAACACGGGGUAACUGGAUAUUAUGUCUGACUUGAUAUAUUAUACUUUAUUUUUUCUUGUCUGGAUUUAUGUUAUGGAUGUGAUACUAUUCUGAUGUGGCAUUGUAGCCGAUGUAUGAAUCCUUGUUAACUGUUUAUGUUAUGGAUUUGCUACUUGUAUCCAAUGAUUAUAGUAUGGGAUGUAAUCAUUCAUAGUAUCCGAGUUUCUUUUAUUAUUCCGAUGUUUAAUGCAUGAUUUCGAUUUAUGACAUGAUAAUUCAGUUAUGUGUUAAAGAUUCAUGAUCAGUAG
rnacentral:lncRNA from 1 species